rnacentral:lncRNA from 1 species
UUUUUUUUUGGUCUUUUGGACUGUUUUUAUUCUUUUUUAUUUCUUAUUUUAUUUUUUUAAUAUUUAUGCAUGAACUUUUCCCAAAUUCUAGAACAUUCUAAAAAAUCGCAUAAUAUUUUCAAAUUAGUAAAUAUUUUUUCCAAAGCACAUGAACUUUUUUUUAAAUUUGUGCAUAUUCUUUCAAAAUCCGUGAACUUUUAUAAAUUCAUGAACUUUUUUCCAAAACCGAUGAGAAUUUUUAAAAUCCACGAAUUUUAUUUGACUUUGUGAAGUUUCUUUCGGAAAUCUUGAAGUUCCUUCGAAUUCUGUGAAGUCUUUUUGUUUUUUAUGAACUUUUUUUAAUACCUUUUUAAUGAAUUUUCUUGAAAAGUCAACAGUCAAUCGCGACCGAUCAACCGCGACUAGUGAACCGGGAAAACCGGCGAGCGAGCGAUCGAUGCCCCCCUUGUUGGACGAGACUUGCCUGCUCCCUCGACGUGUGCCCAUCCGUGCUCCCGCGUACGUGGCUUGAUUUGAUUGAAACAAAAUAAGGCCCGACUCCACCCCCUUAAAAUUAGGAGGGGAGAUGAUUAGAUUAGAAAGAAAAGAAGAAAAAAAACAAUCGUAAGAUAAGUAAGAGCACGGAUGGAAGCAUGGAGAGGGAGCAGGCAAGCCGGAUCCCCCCUUGUUGAGCCCGCCCAUGAGUGAUGGCGCUUAAAGCGAUGGGGAGGAGCUCUUAAUUACAGCCCGCGAGCGGCAAACAGAUGUGGCUUCGCCCGCAGCGCCCUUGGGUGGCUGGCCCAGUUCGUGGCAAGCGAACUCCUCGCUUACUGGUUGUUUUUUUCGUUCGUGUUUCCUGUUUAGUUUUUUCUUUUUCCUUGUUUAUUUCUGGUUCGUCCAUGUUAUUCUCCUCUUUUGUUUGUUUGGUUUUUUCUUUCCUGUUUUUUAUAUUCCUUUUCAUUUACUUUUCUCCGUUUUUUUCAUAAAUUCAAACUUUAAAAAAACAUAACUUGAUUUUUUCGGAAAAUGAUCAAAAUUCCAAGUGUUGGUCAUAAUUUCAAAUAUUGUUCAUGCUUUUACAAUUAUUUCGCCAUUAAAAUAUUGUUCGCAUUUUCGAAUAAAAUUCUUAAUGGUUUCAAAUUUUGAUCAUGUUUUUAAACUAUUUUCUAAAUUUUGUUUUAAAAUUCUAAAAAUUGUUUAGAAUUCAAUUUUUUGCAAUUUCAAAACUGUUCGUAUUUUCUGAAAUAUUUUUUUACUUUUUCAAAAUGUACUCAUGUUUUUUAAAUCCGGUUCACUUUUUGAAAACUUUAUUUACCAUUAAAAAUGGUCGGAACUCAAAAAUGUUUUGCAACUAGAAAAAUGUUCACAUAUUUGUUCAUGUUUUCCAAAAUUGUCACAUUUUUAAAAUUUGUUACUUUGUAGAAAUUGGUCCAUAAAAAAUUUGGUUAUGAAAAAAAAUCGAAUUUGGAAUUUUUAAUCGCUUUUUGAAAUAAUACUCCUGUUUUCCACAAAUUAUUUUAUAUUUUAAAAAUAUUUGUGUUUGGACAAAAUGUUUGCAAUUUUCAGUUUUUUGUUUACAAUUUUCCUUAAUUGAUCGGAAAUAAACUCAAAAGUGGUUUGCUUCUGACGCUGGAAUUGGUUCUUAAAGUCUGGCGGUGCAGAUCGAACACUAGAAAUCAUCAUGUCAAUUUUCUAGGAACACAUGUUCACUAGUGGGAUGUCGCGAGUUCGAGCUCUCACUCACGCAGCACUUUUUGGCAACUUUUUUGGGUGUCUCGAAUAUGUUAGCUCUAAAUGGGUCAGCCCAUUUGCUCCUACCUUCAGCGAAGGCUCAACUAUUUGCCGCCCUUGGGCGUAAAAUAGGAGUUCUCAUAUUUCUUGUAGCAUCGUGCAAAAAAAUGUAUUUAUUUUGGAAGGGUCCUCAUGUAUGAGAACAUAUUCUAUGCACCUAGAGAACUUGUGCAUCAGGUGCACCAACUACUUAUUGGUCGUCUGAUGGAGAAGGAAACGACCACAUUAAGCUACAAGCUGGUCCCUGGCACAUUUACUGAAAGCCCCUAGAAUCUUUCUAUUUUCCUCCUCCCCUCCCCUAAAAAAAGAUGAGACAAUCCUUCCUGAGCUAGCUCUUCCAUCAAUUUUUUUUAUCUGUAAUUCAUUUGAAAAAGGAGCAAAAAAAUAGUUUGGUUUUUUUAUGGAAAACGAGAGUACUUUAUUAAUUCAAAAUAACAGUUACAUCGUCCAUGAGGAGGGGUACAAUAUCAUUCGGAGUUUUCUCAAACCAACAUAAGUCGUAGAAAACCUAGCUAACUUUGUAAGCUCAUGAGUGACCUUAUUUGCUAUCCUAUUACAAUAUUCAAAACUAGUUAAAGGAAAUCACAAACCCAAUGAUAACAGUCAUAAAAAACAACAGUCUCCGCUCCCGCAUAACAUCCUCCGUUCUUCUUGGUUUCGAUGACGAAAUUAUCCGAGUUGGUUACUAGUUGAUUGCAUCCAAACUUUUGCGCAAGGGAUAAUCCAAAUCUUAGCGCCAAUGUCUAAGUCAUUAGGACAUCCGUGCACCAAUUAAUUCUCAAUUUUUCCCCAAUAAUAAAAUUACGUUUGUGAUCUCUCUGAGCAGCACCAGUUCUACCCCUUAGCAAGUAUCGAUCGAAGGAAACACUAAUGUUGAGUUUUCCAAAAACCUUAGGGGCCUAACCCAACGGAAAUGACAUUCGGCUCCCGGGAGCACAUGCUGCUGCCUAUGGAAAAUGAAUUUUGAAAUGUCAAAAAAAAUCCCAACAAAAAAUUAUGUGUUCUUUGGCACAUCCAAUGCUACCUAAAAAUUCUUAGGCAAAAAAGUUAAGCAUUUUGGCAUGUGCAAAAAAAAUUUGAACAUCAAUUGUUACCCCCAAAAUGUCACACCAGAAUGUUUUUCACCGAAAAACAACGCUGCUCCAUUUUGCAUGAAAAUUAUCAAUCAUUCCUGCCACACCAACAUGAGCAUCUACACAAAAAAUCAUUUUUUAAUAUUAUUUUUUAUUUUACUGUUCAUCAAGGUGCAAAUGCACUCGGGAGCCAAAACACCUCGCCCUCCUAAUCCAACCCCCUCUUUUCAUGGUAGCAGUUGCAGAGGAAGCAAUGCCAUAACUAGACGUAAGUGCCUGGAUCCCCAUGUUAAUAUGAUUGACAUCUUGAGACGUCUCCUCAUGGAUUAGUUUGUGCCUUUCCCACCAUAAGUACCAAGUGAUAAUGGCUAUCAUUUCAUGCACAUUCUGCAUACCCAAAAGAGAUAACUUCUGAUCAAGUAGAAGAAGUAGAAACUCAAGUACAACCUCUCCAGUUGGAUAAAUUCACAAGCCCUUCUAAUAAUUUCAUCCAACCCGAGCAUCCUCCAAACCUCUUUAGCUUUAUAACAUAGGAACAUCAAGUGCUUCAAACUUCUGCUCCAUCCAAACAAGAAGGUCAUUGAGGAAAAACUUUGAUAUGUCUAUUAGCAAGCAUAACACGACAUGGGAGGCUGCCUGUGGAACCCCAGCUCAGAGCAACCGAUUUACCUUGCAUUGCCAGCACAGAGAUCUAGUCUUCUGGCAACACACAACAAUUUGGUACAGAAAAACAACUACUUUAUUGACAUAAGCGAGAACAUAGGUUUGAUAUUACAACAAGUAGCGAGGCCAAGCGACACACAUGAUGCGGCUGGACAAUAUGUACAUUAUUUAAUGAACAUAAGAGGGGCCUCGGUCACGAUGAAACGACUACACGGCAGCAGAAGAACAACGAAGCGGAACUCCAUAGCACAAGGACAUCGAUGUGGACACGGCCUAGACGCGGGUAGCACUCCGAUCUGGUACAACUUUCCUGAAAGCUGGCAUGACAUGCCAGGUUAGUCAGUACAUUGAAUGUACUUGCAAACUCACAACAAAUAAAGCAUAAUGACAAACAAUAACAUGACGAUUAAGCAAGUUAAAUGCAAGAACUACUCAUGAUGCUCAUUAAGUGAAUAUGCAUGUGACUAGAGUCCAUUGGACUCGCUUAUCAUCACGGUUACCUCGUAACCUCAAAGCACAUCAUCAUCACAGUGAUCACCUCCGGAUCACAACAGAAACCAUCACUAUGGUUCCAACAACGUAUCCAUCAUAACCAGUGACACAAGUUUACUUAGUGUGCAUGUUAACUUAUUUAUGUUGAUCCACGGCGUGACCUACUAUGAACUAUGUCCAUGACUGAGGACACGUCUAUCGAUAGAUUAAACACACACUAUACAGAGGUUAGCACACUGUACCCACACCACGGUAUCCAUGGCCUCGCACUCCCAUUCGGGUGGACCAACGGCAUUCCGACAGAACCAAUCCAUUGCCAUGACACUCUCCCGGCCACUCCGACCAACUCCCCAUUGGGCUAAGUCAUGGGUGGCCCCGAUGCCACUCUGGACAUCCAACGACCACCGCCGUGGAAAAGCAUAAAUGGUCCCGAACGGGGACAAGGUACCAUAACAACAAUGGGCACACAAGGUUAAGCCUGCCUACCAGGCAAGGGUAGCGCACGCGGAUAACCUUCCCUCGUUGGAGGCACCAACCAAAGGCAUGACAACGGACUGAAUAAGGGCCUUCCCACAAAGGCAAAUGUGGUUACACUGGGAAGCUCAAUUCGGUGGCACCAUGACUUGAUCAACAUUAUGUUCAAGUCGGAUUAUUCAUCAUAUUAAACUUGAAAUAAAAUACUCGAGCCAUAGUAUGCCAUGAACAUGCAUCUAUAUGAACAUGCAAGCAUAUCAUCAUGAUACCGGAAAGUAAUUACUCAUUCUCAAUGAUCAUAUCAAUGGCCAAGCUAAACCACUUAACAUGCUAAUGGACAUGAAGUAAUCAUAGCAAGAACUUGAUUCUACCAUAUGCUAAUAAUAUUCACCAUAAAGAAAUAAUACUGAUAAAUAUUCUACUCAAGAUCAUGCUCAAAAUAACUCCUAUAUUACAUACUAGAUCAUGCACUCAUAAGCUACUGAAAAACUAGACAAGCAUACCAAGAACUUGCAACUAGCAUUAUUGUGAUUAACCAAAUAUUUAAAUGCAUGAAAAUAAGUCAUAUUCAAGUUGGAAAUCAUGAUUAUUGAAAUGGCAUUCUGCAAAUAUUUGUGAUGGCUUGCCUUAGCACAGAGGAGGUUCAGACUCCUCCUGGAUCUCCUCAAGGCAAGUUUCUCCUUCUGAAAACAUUUAAAAGUGACAAAAGAAAAUGUCACAUAACACAUUUAAAUACCACAGAAAAGAUUUACAGCAGGCAAAAAUCUCAUCUUUUGCAUGCUGAAAGAGAAGAGCAAGACAAAAUUAGUGCAAAAAGAAUCAACUCAUUUGGACUUAUAGAAUAGGAGUUAUAGAUGGUCAAAGUUGAGUCAAAAUAUUUGAAUUAAACUGAAUAUUAGAAAAACCAGAGCGGCUGACGUUGAAGACGUAUUCCAGGGAAUGCGCCUCCACUCAUGCCGCUUCGGGCGCGCGCUGUGAGGCUGGCAGCGGGCCCGCCUAGUCAGGUGAGAGAGAGGGAAAGAGAAGAAAUAGAGGAAGUGAUUGUCACCGGUGCGUACGCCGGCGAGGAGAGCUCGGCGGCCGCCGUGGAAGGGAAGGAUGGACGUGUGAUGACCCACAAGUAUAGGGGAUCUAUCAUAGUCCUUUCGAUAAGUAAGAGUGUCGAACCCAGCGAGGAGCAGAAGAAAAUGAUAAGCGAUUUUCAGCAAGGUAUUCUGUGCAAGUACUGAAAUAAGUGGUAACAGAUAGUUUUGUGAUAGGAUAAUUUGUAACGAGCAACAAGUAACAAAAGUAAAUAAACUGCAGCAAGGAGGUCCAAUCCUUUUUGUAGCAAAGGACAAGCCUGGACAAACUCUUAUAUAGAGAAAAGCGAUCCUGAGGACACAUGAGAAUAUCGUCAAGCUAGUUUUCAUCACGUUCAUAUGAUUCGCGCUCGGUACUUUGAUAAUUUGGUAUGUGGGUGGACCGGUGCUUGGGUACUGUCCUUACUUGGACAAGCAUCCCACUUAUGAUUAACCUCUAUUGCAAGCAUCCGCAACUACAACAAAAGUAUUAAGGUAAACCUAACCAUAGCAUGAAACAUAUGGAUCCAAAUCAGCCCCUUACAAAGCAACGCAUAAACUAGGGUUUAAGCUUCUGUCACUCUAGCAACCCAUAAUCUACUUAUUACUUCCCAAUGCCUUCCUCUAGGCCCAAAUAAUGGUGAAGUGUUAUGUAGUCGACGUUCACAUAACACCACUAGAGGAGAGACAACAUACAUCUCAUCAAAAUAUCGAACGAAUACCAAUUUCACAUGACUACUAAUAGCAAGACUUCUCCCAUGUCCUCAGGAACAAACGUAACUACUCACAAAGCAUAAUCAUGUUCAUAAUCAGAGGGGUAUUAAUAUGCAUAUAGGAUCUGAACAUAUGAUCUUCCACCAAAUAAACCAACUAGCAUCAACUACAAGGAGUAAUUAACACUACUAGCAACCUACUAGUACCAAUCCCGGACUUGGAGACAAGAAUUGGAUACAAGAGAUGAACUAGGGUUUUGAGAGGAGAUGGUGCUGGUGAAAAUGUUGAUGGAGAUUGCCCUUUCCUGAUGAGAGAAGCGUUGGUGAUGACGGUGGCGAUGAUUUCCCCCUCCCGGAGGGAAGUUUCCCCGGCAGAACAGCUCCGCCAGAGCCCUAGAUUGGAUCCGCCAAGGUUCCGCCUCGUGGCGGUGGAGUUUCGUCCGAGGAGAUGGCUUAUGAUUUUUUUCUCAUCAAAGACUCCAUAUAGCAUAAGGUGGCCAUCGGAGGGCCACCAGGGGGCCCACGAGGUAGGGGGCGCGCCCAGGGGGUAGGGCGCGCCCCCACCCUCGUGGGCAGGGUGUGGCCCCCCUGGUGAACUUCUUGCGCUCAGUAUUUUUUAUAUAUUCUGAAAACGUCCUCCGUGAAGUUUUAGGACUUUUGGAGCUGUGCAGAAUAGGUCUCUAAUAUUUGCUCCUUUUCCAGCCUAGAAUCCCAGCUGCCGGCAUUCUCCCUCUUUAUGUAAACCUUGUAAAAUAAGAGAGAAUAGGCAUAAGUAUUGUGACAUAAUGUGUAAUAACAGCCCAUAAUGCAAUAAAUAUCGAUAUAAAAGCAUGAUGCAAAAUGAACGUAUCAACUCCCCCAAGCUUAGACCUCGCUUGUCCUCAAGCGAAAGCCGAAAUCGAAAAAUAUGUCCACAUGUUUGGAGAUAGAGGUGUCGAUAAAAGUAAAAUACGGACAUGAGGGCAUCAUGAUCGUUCUUAGAACAGCAACUUACAUAAUUCUUGUCAUGUGAUUUCUUAUGCUAGAAUAAUAAUUCAAUCACAAUUUCAAGCAUGAAUCGUAAACUUCAUUGAAAACUAACAAACUAUAAUCUCAGUCAUUGGAGCAAUUGCAAUUUAUCAUAACAUAGGAAAGAGUUAAUAUAUAAGAGCUUUUCAGCAAGUCCACAUACUCAACUAUCAUAUAGUCUUUCACAAUUGCCGACACUCACGCAAUACUUAUGGGUAUGGAGUUUUAAUCGGAUACAGAGAAAGAUAUGGGCUUAUAGUUUUGCUGAAGGAAAUAUGCCCUAGAGGCAAUAAUAAAGUUAUUAUUUAUUUCCUUAUAAUCAUGAUAAAUGUUUAUUAUUCAUGCUAGAAUUGUAUUAAUCAGAAACAUAAUACAUGUGUGAAUACAUAGACAAACAGAGUGUCACUAGUAUGCCUCUACUUGACUAGCUCGUUAAUCAAAGAUGGUUAUGUUUCCUAACCAUGAACAAAGUGUUGUUAUUUGAUUAACGAGGUCACAUCAUUAGUUGAAUGAUCUGAUUGACAUGACCCAUUCCAUUAGCUUAGCACCCGAUCGUUUAGUAUGUUGCUAUUGCUUUUCUUCAUGACUUAUACAUGUUCCUAUGACUAUGAGAUUAUGCAACUCCCGUUUACCGGAGGAACACUUUGUGUGCUACCAAACAUCACAACGUAAAUGGGUGAUUAUAAAGGAGCUCUACAGGUGUCUCCAAAGGUAGAUGUUGGGUUGGCGUAUUUCGAGAUUAGGAUUUGUCACUCCGAUUGUCGGAGAGGUAUCUCUGGGCCCUCUCGGUAAUGCACAUCACUUAAGCCUUGCAAGCAUUGCAACUAAAUGAGUUAGUUGCGGGAUGAUGUAUUAUGGAACGAGGAAAGAGACUUGCCGGUAAAGAGAUUGAACUAGGUAUAGGAAUACCGACGAUCGAAUCUCGGGCAAGUAACAUACAGAUGAUAACGGGAACAACGUAUGUUGUUAUGCGGUCUGACCGAUAAAGAUCUUCGUAGAAUAUGUAGGAGCCAAUAUGGGCAUCCAGGUCCCGCUAUUGGUUAUUGACCGGAGACGUGUCUCGGUCAUGUCUACAUUGUUCUCGAGCCCAUAGGGUCUGCACGCUUAAGGUUACGAUGACAGUUAUAUUAUGAGUAUAUACAUUUUGAUGUACCUAAGUUUGUUCGGAGUCCCGGAUGUGAUCACGGACAUGACGAGGAGUCUCGAAAUGGUCGAGACGUAAAGAUUGAUAUAUUGGAAGCCUAUGUUUGGAUAUUGGAAGUGUUCCGGGUGAAAUCGGGAUUUUACCGAAGUACCGGGAAUGUUACCGGAACCCCCCGUGAGUUAAAUGGGCCAUGAUGGGCCUUAGUGGAAAAGAGAAGAGGCAGCCCUACAUGGGCUGCGCGCCUCCCCCCUCCCCCUAGUCCUAUUAGGACUAGGAGAGGUGGCCGACCCCCUCUCUCUCUUUUCCCCCUCCGCGAAUCCUAUUCCAACUAGGAUUGGGGGGGGGGGGAAUCCUACUCCCAGAGGGAGUAGGACUCUCCUGGCGCGCUACACCUUGGCCAGCCAGCCUCCCCCCUCUAGUCCUUUAUAUACUGAGGUAGAGGCACCCUAGAACACACAAGUUGAUCCACGUGAUCUAUUCCUUAGCCGUGUGCGGUUCCCCCUGCCACCAUAUUCCUCGAUAAUACUGUAGCGGAGUUUAGGUGAAGCCCUGCUGCUGUAGUGCAUCAAGUUCGUUACCACGCCGUCGUGCUGACGGAACUCUUCCCCGACACUUUGCUGGAUCGGAGUCCGGGGAUCGUCAUCGAGCUGAACGUGUGCUCGAACUCGGAGGUGCCGUAGUUUCGGUACUUGAUCGGUUGGAUCGUGAAGAUGUACGACUACUUCCUCUACGUUGCGUCAACGCUUCCGCAGUCGGUCUGCGUGGGUACGUAGACAACACUCUCCCCUCUCGUUGCUAUGCAUCACAUGAUCUUGCGUGUGCGUAGGAAAUUUUUUGAAAUUACUACGAAACCCAACAGUGGUAUCAGAGCCAGGUUAUUUAUGUUGAUGUUAUAAACACAAGUGAGUUGUGGGCGAUAUAAGUCAUACUGCCUACCAGCAUGUCAUACUUUGGUUCGGCGGCAUUGUUGGACGAGACGACCCGGACCAACAUUACGCGUACGCUUACGCGAGACCGGUUCCCCCGACGUGCUUUGCACAUAGGUGGCUUGCGGGCGACUGUCUCUCCAACUUUAGUUGAACCGAGUAUGGCUACGCCCGGUCCUUGCGAAGGUUAAAACGGAGUCUAUUUGACAAACUAUCGUUGUGGUUUUGAUGCGUAGGUGAGAUUGGUUCUUGCUUAAGCCCGUAGCAGCCACGUAAAACUUGCAACAACAAAGUAGAGGACGUCUAACUUGUUUUUGCAGGGCAUGUUGUGAUGUGAUAUGGUCAAGGCAUGAUGCUGAAUUUUAUUGUAUGAGAUGAUCAUGUUUUGUAACCAAGUUAUCGGCAACUGGCAGGAGCCAUAUGGUUGUCGCUUUAUUUUAUGCAAUGCAAUCGUGAUGUAAUGCUUUACUUUAUUACUAAACGGUAGUGAUAGUCGUGGAAGCAUAAGAUUGGUGAGACGACAACGAUGCUACGAUGGAGAUCAAGGUGUCGCGCCGGUGACGAUGAUGAUCAUGACGAUGCUUCUGAGAUGGAGAUCACAAGCACAAGAUGAUGAUGGCCAUAUCAUAUCACUUAUAUUGAUUGCAUGUGAUGUUUAUCUUUUUAUGCAUCUUAUCUUGCUUUGAUUGACGGUAGCAUUAUAAGAUGAUCUCUCACUAAAUUAUCAAGAAGUGUUCUCCCUGAGUAUGCACCGUUGCCAAAGUUCGUCGUGCCCAGACACCACGUGAUGAUCGGGUGUGAUAAGCUCUACGUCCAUCUACAACGGGUGCAAACCAGUUUUGCACACGCAGAAUACUCAGGUUAAACUUGACGAGCCUAGCAUAUGAAGAUAUGGCCUCGGAACACGGAGACCGAAAGGUCGAGCGUGAAUCGUAUAGUAGAUAUGAUCAACAUAACAAUGUUCACCAUUGAAAACUACUCCAUCUCACGUGAUGAUCGGUUAUGGUUUAGUUGAUUUGGAUCACGUAAUCACUUAGAAGAUUAGAGGGAUGUCUAUCUAAGUGGGAGUUCUUAAGUAAUUUGAUUAAUUGAACUUAAACUUAUCAUGAACUUAGUACCUGAUAGUAUCUUGCUUGUUUAUGUUGAUUGUAGAUAGAUGGCUUGUGCUGUUGUUCCGUUGAAUUUUAAUGCGUUCCUUGAGAAAGCAAGGUUGAAAGAUGAUGGUAGCAAUUAUACGGACUGGGUCCGUAACUUGAGGAUUAUCCUCAUUGCUGCCCAGAAGAAUUACGUCCUGGAAGCACCGCUGGGUGCCAGGCCUGCUGCUGGAGCAACACCAGAUGUUAUGAACGUGUGGCAAAGCAAAACUAAUGACUACUCGAUAGUUCAGUGUGCCAUGCUUUACGGCUUAGAAUCGGGACUUCAACGAUGUUUUGAACGUCAUGGAGCAUAUGAGAUGUUCCAGGAGUUGAAGUUAAUAUUUCAAGCAAAUGCUCGGAUUGAGAGAUAUGAAGUCUCCAAUAAGUUCUAUAGCUGCAAGAUGGAGGAGAACAGUUUUGUCAGUGAGCAUAUACUCAAAAUGUCUGGGUAUAAUAAUCACUUGAUUCAAUUGGGAGUUAAUCUUCCGGAUGAUUGCGUCAUUGACAGAAUUCUCCAAUCACUACCACCAAGCUACAAGAGCUUCGUGAUGAACUAUAAUAUGCAAGGGAUGAACAAGACUAUUCCCGAGCUCUUCGCGAUGCUGAAAGCUGCAGAGGUAGAAAUCAAGAAGGAGCAUCAAGUGUUGAUGGUUAACAAGACCACUAGUUUCAAGGAAAAGGGCAAAGGGAAGAAGAAGGGGAACUUCAAGAAGAACAGCAAGCAAGUUGCUACUCAGGAGAAGAAACCCAAGCCUGAAACUGAGUGCUUCUACUGCAAGCAGACUAGUCACUGGAAGCGGAACUGCCCCAAGUAUUUGGCGGAUAAGAAGGAUGGCAAGGUGAACAAAGGUAUAUGUGAUAUACAUGUUAUUGAUGUGUACCUUACUAGAGCUCGCAGUAGCACCUGGGUAUUUGAUACUGGUUCUGUUGCUAAUAUUUGCAACUCGAAACAGGGACUACGGAAUAAGCGGGCACUGGCAAAGGACGAGGUGACGAUGCACGUGGGAAACGGUUCCAAAGUCGAUGUGAUCACGGUCGGCACGCUACCUCUACAUCUACCUUUGGGAUUAAUAUUAGACCUAAAUAAUUGUUAUUUGGUGCCAGCGUUGAGCAUGAACAUUAUAUCUGGAUCUUGUUUGAUGCGAGACGGUUAUUCAUUUAAAUCAGAGAAUAAUGGUUGUUCUAUUUAUAUGAGUAAUAUCUUUUAUGGUCAUGCACCUUUGAAGAGUGGUCUAUUUUUGAUGAAUCUCGAUAGUAGUGAUACACAUAUUCAUAAUGUUGAAGCCAAAAGAUGCAGAGUUGAUAAUGAAAGUGCAACUUAUUUGUGGCACUGUCGUUUAGGUCAUAUCGGUGUAAAGCGCAUGAAGAAACUCCAUACUGAUGGACUUUUGGAACCACUUGAUUAUGAAUCACUUGUACUUGCGAACCGUGCCUCAUGGGCAAGAUGACUAAAACACCGUUCUCCGGUACUAUGGAGAGAGCAACAGAUUUGUUGGAAAUCAUACAUACCGAUGUAUGUGGUCCAAUGAAUAUUGAGGCUCGUGGCGGAUAUCGUUAUUUUCUCACCUUCACAGAUGACUUAAGCAGAUAUGGGUAUAUCUACUUAAUGAAACACAAGUCUGAAACAUUUGAAAAGUUCAAAGAAUUUCAGAGUGAAGUUGAAAAUCAUCGUAACAAGAAAAUAAAGUUUCUACGAUCUGAUCGUGGAGGAGAAUAUUUGAGUUACGAGUUUGGUGUACAUUUGAAAAAUUGUGGAAUAGUUUCGCAACUCACGCCACCCGGAACACCACAGCGUAAUGGUGUGUCCGAACGUCGUAAUCGUACUUUACUAGAUAUGGUGCGAUCUAUGAUGUCUCUUACUGAUUUACCGCUAUCGUUUUGGGGUUAUGCUUUAGAGACGGCCGCAUUCACGUUAAAUAGGGCACCAUCAAAAUCCAUUGAGACGACGCCUUUUGAACUGUGGUUUGGCAAGAAACCAAAGUUGUCGUUUCGUAAAGUUUGGGGCUGCGAUGCUUAUGUGAAAAAGCUUCAACCUGAUAAGCUCGAACCCAAAUCGGAGAAAUGUGUCUUCAUAGGAUACCCAAAGGAGACUGUUGGGUACACCUUCUAUCACAGAUCCGAAGGCAAGACAUUCGUUGCUAAGAAUGGAUCCUUUCUAGAGAAGGAGUUUCUCUCGAAAGAAGUGAGUGGGAGGAAAGUAGAACUUGACGAGGUAACUGUACCUGCUCCUUUAUUGGAAAGUAGUACAUCACAGAAAAUUGUUUCUGCGACACCUACACCAAUAAGUGAGGAAGCUAAUGAUGAUGAUCAUGAAACUUCAGAUCAAGAUACUACUGAACCUCGUAGAUUAACCAGAGUAAGACCCGCUCCAGAGUGGUACGAUAAUCCUGUUCUGGAAAUCAUGCUACUAGAUCAUGAUGAACCUACGAACUAUGAAGAAGCGAUGGUGAGCCCAGAUUCCGCAAAAUGGCUUGAAGCCACGAAAUCUGAGAUGGGAUCCAUGUAUGAGAACAAAGUAUGGACUUUGGUUGACUUGCCCGAUGAUCGGCAAGCAAUUGAGAAUAAAUGGAUCUUCAAGAAGAAGACUGACGCUGAUGGUAAUGUUACUGUCUACAAAGCUCGACUUGUCGCAAAAGGUUUUCGACAAGUUCAAGGGGUUGACUACGAUGAGACCUUCUCACCCAUAGCGAUGCUUAAGCCUGUCCGAAUCAUGUUAGCAAUUGCCGCAUUUUAUGAUUAUGAAAUUUGGCAGAUGGAUGUCAAAACUGCAUUCCUGAAUGGAUUUCUGGAAGAAGAGUUGUAUAUGAUGCAACCGAAAGGUUUUGUUGAUCCAAAGGGAGCUAACAAAGUGUGCAAGCUCCAGCGAUCCAUUUAUGGACUGGUGCAAGCCUCUCGGAGUUGGAAUAAACGUUUUGAUAGUGUGAUCAAAGCAUUUGGUUUUAUACAGACUUUUGGAGAAGCCUGUAUUUACAAGAAAGUGAGUGGGAGCUCUGUAGCAUUUCUGAUAUUAUAUGUGGAUGACAUAUUAUUAAUUGGAAAUGAUAUAGAAUUUCUGGAUAGCAUAAAGGGAUACUUGAAUAAGAGUUUUUCAAUGAAAGACCUCGGUGAAGCUGCUUACAUAUUAGGCAUUAAGAUCUAUAGAGAUAGAUCAAAACGCUUAAUUGGACUUUCACAAACAACAUACCUUGACAAAAUUUUGAAAAAGUUCAAAAUGGAUCAAGCAAAGAAAGGAUUCUUGCCUGUGUUACAAGGUGUGAAAUUGAGUAAGACUCAAUGCCCGACCACUGCAGAAGAUAGAGAGAAUAUGAAAGAUGUUCCCUAUGCAUCAGCGAUAGGAUCUAUCAUGUAUGCAAUGUUGUGUACCAGACCUAAUGUGUGCCUUGCUAUAAGUCUAGCAGGGAGGUACCAAAGUAAUCCAGGAGUGGAUCACUGGACAGCGGUCAAGAACAUCCUGAAAUACCUGAAAAGGACUAAGGAUAUGCUUCUCAUAUAUGGAGGUGACAAAGAGCUCGUCAUAAAUGGUUACGUUGAUGCAAGCUUUGACACUGAUCCGGAUGAUUCUAAAUCGCAAACCGGAUACAUGUUUACAUUAAACGGUGGAGCUCUCAGAUGGUGCAGUCCUAAACAAAGCGUCGUAGCGGGAUCUACAUGUGAAGCGGAGUACAUAGCUGCUUCAGAAGCGGCAAAUGAAGGAGUCUGGAUGAAGGAGUUCAUAUCCGAUCUAGGUGUCAUACCUAGUGCAUCGGGUCCAAUGAAAAUCUUUUGUGACAAUACUGGUGCAAUUGCCUUGGCAAAGGAAUCCAGAUUUCACAAGAGAACCAAGCACAUCAAGAGACUCUUCAAUUCCAUCCGGGAUCUAGUCCAGGUGGGAGACAUAGAGAUUUGCAAGAUACAUACGGAUCUGAAUGUUGCAGACCCGUUGACUAAGCCUCUUCCACGAGCAAAACAUGAUCAGCACCAAGGCUCCAUGGGUGUUAGAAUCAUUACUGUGUAAUCUAGAUUAUUGACUCUAGUGCAAGUGGGAGACUGAAGGAAAUAUGCCCUAGAGGCAAUAAUAAAGUUAUUAUUUAUUUCCUUAUAAUCAUGAUAAAUGUUUAUUAUUCAUGCUAGAAUUGUAUUAACCGGAAACAUAAUACAUGUGUGAAUACAUAGACAAACAGAGUGUCACUAGUAUGCCUCUACUUGACUAGCUCGUUAAUCAAAGAUGGUUAUGUUUCCUAACCAUGAACAAAGUGUUGUUAUUUGAUUAACGAGGUCACAUCAUUAGUUGAAUGAUUUGAUUGACAUGACCCAUUCCAUUAGCUUAGCACCCGAUCGUUUAGUAUGUUGCUAUUGCUUUUCUUCAUGACUUAUACAUGUUCCUAUGACUAUGAGAUUAUGCAACUCCCGUUUACCGGAGGAACACUUUGUGUGCUACCAAACGUCACAACGUAAAUGGGUGAUUAUAAAGGAGCUCUACAGGUGUCUCCAAAGGUAGAUGUUGGGUUGGCGUAUUUCAAGAUUAGGAUUUGUCACUCCGAUUGUCGGAGAGGUAUCUCUGGGCCCUCUCGGUAAUGCACAUCACUUAAGCCUUGCAAGCAUUGCAACUAAAUGAGUUAGUUGCGGGAUGAUGUAUUACGGAACGAGUAAAGAGACUUGCCGGUAACGAGAUUGAACUAGGUAUAGGAAUACCGACGAUCGAAUCUCGGGCAAGUAACAUACCGAUGACAAAGGGAACAACGUAUGUUGUUAUGCGGUCUGACCGAUAAAGAUCUUCGUAGAAUAUGUAGGAGCCAAUAUGGGCAUCCAGGUCCCGCUAUUGGUUAUUAACCGGAGACGUGUCUCGGUCAUGUCUACAUUGUUCUCGAACCCGUAGGGUCCGCACGCUUAAGGUUACGAUGAUAGUUAUAUUAUGAGUUUAUACAUUUUGAUGUAUCGAAGGUUGUUCGGAGUCCCGGAUGUGAUCACAGACAUGACGAGGAGUCUCGAAAUGGUCGAGACGUAAAGAUUGAUAUAUUGGAAGCCUAUGUUUGGAUAUCGGAAGUGUUCCGGGUGAAAUCGGGAUUUUACCGGAGUACCGGGAAAGUUACCGGAACCCCCCGGGAGUUAAAUGGGCCAUGAUGGGCCUUAGUGGAAAAGAGAAGACGCAGCCCUACAUGGGCUGCGCGCCUCCCCCCCUCCCCCUAGUCCUAUUAGGACUAGGAGAGGUGGCCGGCCCCCUCUCUCUCUUUUCCCCCUCCGCGAAUCCUAUUCCAACUAGGAUUGGGGGGGGGGGGGAAUCCUACUCCCAGAGGGAGUAGGACUCUCCUGGCGCGCCACACCUUGGCCGGCCAUCCUCCCCCCUCUAGUCCUUUAUAUACUGAGGUAGAGGCACCCUAGAACACACAAGUUGAUCCACGUGAUCUAUUCCUUAGCCGUGUGCAGUGCCCCCUGCCACCAUAUUCCUCAAUAAUACUGUAGCGGAGUUUAUGCGAAGCCCUGCUGCUGUAGUGCAUCAAGUUCGUCACCACGCCGUCGUGCUGACGGAACUCUUCCCCGACACUUUGUUGGAUCGGAGUCUGGGGAUCGUCAUUGAGCUGAACGUGUGCUCGAACUCGGAGGUGCCGUAGUUUCGGUACUUGAUCGGUUGGAUCAUGAAGACGUACGACUACUUCCUCUAUGUUGCGUCAACGCUUCCGCAGUCGGUCUGCGUGGGUACGUAGACAACACUCUCCCCUCUCGUUGCUAUGCAUCACAUGAUCUUGCGUGUGCGUAGGAAAUUUUUUGAAAUUACUAAGAAACCCAACAUUUGCCUCCCAACGUUUUACCUCAAGGGUAAUGUCAACAAUAAUAGUUCAUGAAAACUCACAUCCAAUUAGCCAUAUAUACCAGGAUCUUUCCAACAUACUGUGCUUGCCAAAGGAUAAAAUGUAAAAAGGAAGGGUGAAGAUCACCAUGACUCUUAUGCAAGGUACGAGGUAAAAGUAAAAGAUAGGCCAUUCGCAAAGGGAAGCAGAGGUUGUCAUGCAUUUUUAUGGUUGGAUGCACAAAAUCUUAAUGCGAAAGAACGUCACUUUAUAUUGCCACUUGUGAUAUGGACCUUUAUUAUGCAGUCUGUCGCUUUUAUUUCUUCCAUAUCACACGAUCGUAUAAAGCUUAUUUUCUCCCACACUAAUAAGUCAUACAUAUUUAGAGAGCAAUUUUUAUUGCUUGCACCGAUGACAACUUACUUGGAGGAUCUUACUCAAUCCAUAGGUAGGUAUGGUGGACUCUCAUGGCAAAACUGGUUUAAGGGUAUUUGGAAGCACAAGUAGUAUCUCUACUUGGUGCGAUGAAUUUGGCUAGCAUGAGGGGAAAGGCAAGCUCAACCAUGUUGGAUGAUCCAUGGCAAUAUAAUUUAUCUCAGAUGUAAGAAAACAUAACCCAUUACGUUGUCUUCCUUGUCCAACGUCAACUCUUUAGCAUGUCAUAUUUUAAUGAGUGCUCACAAUCAUAAAAGAUGUCCAAGAUAGUAUAUUUAUAUGUGAAGACCUCUCUUUCUUUAUUACUUCCUAUUAAUUGCAACGAUGACCAAAACUAUGUUUGUCAACUCUCAACAACUUUUAUUCAUCAUACUUUUUCUAUGUGAGCUCAUUACUCUCCAUAAGAUCCAUAUGAUCUCUUUGUUUCCUUUUUUAUUUAUUUCUCUUUUCUUUUAUUCACUUAGGAUCAUGGCAAAAUAAUCAAGCCCUUGACUCAACACUAAUCUUUAUUAUAUAUAGCUCACGGACUCGAUUACAUAGAGGGAUCAUAAAGCAAAACUCAAAACUAGAUCAUGCCAUAAACUUUAUUCUACUAGAUCAAGAUAUUACCAAAAGGAUCGAAAUAAGAAAAACGGUAAAGAUAAAAGUGAUGGUGAUACGAUACCGGGGCACUCCCCCAAGCUUGGCAGUUGCCAAGGGGAGUGCCCAUACGAGAUACUCAAUUCUUCUUUGUUGGUGGAGAGGGCGAUUGUUUUGUUGAUGGCAUAGGCUUGUCGUCCUUCUUCCAAGGCAUAGGCUCACCAACAUAGAAGGAUGAUCGAGUCUCCUGAAACCUCAAAUCUGCAGCCAAACUCAUCCUCUUGAAUCUAUAUUCAUACUCAUAGUUUUGAUUUUGCAGGUCAUAGAUCUGGGCUUGUAGGCGCUCGAUUUUCUCAUGAAGCUUGAAGAUGGCCUCCCCAAUGUCCUUGACGUCCAACUUGUGGUUGUUGGUGAACUCCAUGAUCAUAAUGUGAUUGGAAUCGAGUCUGUGCUCCACCAUCUCCUGACACUUGAAAACUUCUUGCUCCAAUGCCUCGAGCCUUGCCUCCGUGCUUCCGGUCUUCCUUGGUCCCUCAACAUCGCGGAUGUGCAACAACCCCUCACGCAUCUCAAUGGUUUGGGGGUGUUGCAGCACCUACGCGAGGUAGGGGUUGAUGACCUUCUCGAAGAACUGGUCCUUGGGGGCACUUGAAGAUGACAUGACAUCCUGGAUCUGUCAGAAAAACAGCUCGAAACACAAACAGAGGAUAAUUGUGUGAUACGAGAGUCAAAACCCCCGAGAGAUUAUAUAAUGAAUUUUUACCGCCGAAAAUACGUAUUAUGCAAGAAAACGGAGUCCGGAGAGCGCACGAGGUAGGAGGGCGCGCCCAGUAGGGUAGGGCACGCCCUCCACCCUCCUGGAGGCCUCGUGUCCUUCCCGGACUGCUUCUUAUUUUUCUAUUUUUCUAAAUAUUCCAAAACGGAGAAAUAUUGCCUUAAAAACUGUUUUGGAGUCGGUUUACUUACCGUACCACAUACCUAUUCCUUUUUGGAGUCUGAAACGUUCCCUAAGGUAUUCGGUCUUUGUGAUUUUAAACGGGCUGAAGCGCCCUUUGUAAUAAACCCCUGGUGUCCAGGUACGUGCAUUAUUCUGACGUGGCCACAUGCCAAGACGCCAUCCUCCUUCUCAGUUGCGCUGAGAAUCCGGGGGAUGUGUAUCAACAAGAGACAUUGAAAAAGGUUUACGCAGGGUCUUAAUCUGAAAAGAAUCCUUAGAACGGGUCCAUGAUGCACGUCUGUGCCUGUGUCUCCGUUGUGCCGUAUCCUGGACGGGUGUAGCACGAUGUUCAUCGGGAAAAGAGAGGAACUUAGUUGAAAAAGUAGUCGUGCAAAUUGUAUCUUAUACUAAGUAAACAAAGUAUGAUUCAAGGUGGGAAGAAUUGAGUUUUAUUGCUGCUUGUUUACAUGCGGGGAGCCCCUUGUAUAGGGGUGUAUAACCAUCAAACCUUUAACAAUUAAAUAGUUACGCCGGACUCGUCCAGCCGUAUCCAUGGUCUUGACGACCUAUUAGGCGCUCUGGUUGGUGAGGCAGUUUAGUGUGUGGCUGUUAAAGCAGCCGCACCGUCUUCCGCGCGCAAGGAGCGCUCAAUGUUUCCCUUUACUAAAAUGAUGCCUUAUGGAUCGGGCAUCUUAAGCGUAAGAGACGCAUAGUGCGGUAUUGCGUUGAAGCGGGCGAAAGCGUCGCGUCUCAGUAGUGCUUGAUAGCCACUUUUAAACGGAGCGAUGUAGAAGGUUAGCUUUUCGCUACGGAAGUUAUCGGGAGAGCCGAAUAUGACUUCUAGUAGGAGGGAGGCCGAACAACGAGCCCCUCGGCCUGGUGUUACUCCUUUAAAGGACAUAUUGCUAUGGCUAAUUUUUGUUGGGUCUACCCCCAUUUUGCGGACCGUGUCCUGAUAUAUCAGGUUCACACUGCUGCCGCCGUCCAUCAGGACUCGCGUAAAGUGGUAUCCGUCAAUCAUCGGGUCUAAUACCAAGGCAGCCCAGCCUGCGUGCCACAUACUUCCGGAGUAAUCCCGAUGGUCGAAGGUGAUUGGUUUGGACAACCAGUGGCGAAACUCCAUUGUGAUAGGCCGCAUGGCACGUAUCUCUGUGGGCGCCACUUUGUUUCUCCCUUUUGUCACGUGUAAUACGUUUACUGUUUUGACUUACUGUGAGAAUUUCUUCUGUUCCCUAGUGCUUUGCUUGUGAGGUUCAUCAUCGUCUUCACUUGGUGUAUCCAGCCCCUUGCGUUUGGCAUUGAGUUUGCCGGAUUGCUUGAAGACCCAACAUUCUCUGUGGGUAUAUUUGCAGGCUUACCAGGGGUGCUGUGGAUUUGACAUAUCUUGUCCAAGAUUUUGUUUAAGCUGGACAGUUCGUCCCUGUUAUCCUUGAGAGGCAGCUUUUGCUGACCCCGCCGAGAGCUUUUGAAUCCGGUGUUAACUGUCGUGCUCUUCGGGCUGGUUUUCCUUAUUUCGGCACUGGUCUUUGCUGCGUCGUGGCUUCUCGUUUCCAUCCCUGACUUCGGAUGUACUUGGGUCGCUGGUGCUGCAUCUUGCCAACCAGCUGUCCUCGCCCACGCAAAAGCGGGUCAUGAGGCUUGUUAAUACGGCCAUUGUUCUUGGCUUUUCCUGGUCGAGGUGUCUGGCGAGCCAUUCGUCUCGAACGCUGUGUUUAAAAGCUGCUAAGGCUUCGGCAUCCGGACAGUCGACUAUUUGGUUCUUUUUAGUAAGGAACUUGUUCCAGAGUUUUCGGGAUGACUCUCCGGGCUGUUGAGUUAUAUGACUUAAAUCAUCUGCAUCCGGUGGUCGGACAUAGGUCCCUUGAAAAUUUGCCUGAAAGGCAUCCUCGAGCUCUUCCCAACUUCCAAUAGUGUUUUCGUGGAGGCUUUUGAGCCAAUGCCUGGCUAGCCCUUUGAGCUUGAGGGGUAGGUAUUUGAUGGCAUGGAGAUCAUCUCCUCGAACCAUGUGGAUGUGGAGGAUGUAGUCCUCAAUCCAGACCCCAGGGUCUGUUGUUCCGUCGUAUGCCUCUAUGUUUACGGGUUUGAAUCCCGCUGGAAAUUCAUGGUCCAGCACCUCAUCAGUGAAACAUAGGGGGUGUGCGGCACCCCUGUAUUUGGGUGUGUCGUGGUGUUCGGAUAUUUGUUGUGUUGCAUUGCUUGCAAGAGUGUGCUUUCUUGGCCCGUAGAUAGAUCUGGUUGGGCCAUCUCUUUGAUGCGAGUCCUUGUGUGGAUCACGUGCUGGCUUGUGUGCGGCGCCAUGUGCUGCUCUAUGUUGGCCGUGAGGUCGUCUUUCCGACCGGAUGGCUGCUUUGUUUUUUGAUUGGGGGGCUCUAAGGCCUCCUCAUCAAAUUCAGGCAGUAGCUUUCGCUUCGGGUAGCUCUUUGUGUGGCGACUGCCACCAUAUUUGUCUGCGGUGUUGAGUACUUUGCUCCAUCUGAUUCUGAGUGCAUCUUCCGCAGUCUUUAGCUUCUGCUUCUACUUUUUCAGGCUACGCGCAGUGGCGACGAGCCUUUUAUGGAGGUUCUUCUGCUCCAGGAACUUGUCCGGCGUGAGGUCAUCCGGACUGUUAUCUUCGUUGAGGACGGGUUGUUCGGUUUGAUUAUCCAAAUUGCCUUGUUCGGACGGUUGCUCGAUGCCAUGUUCGUCGUCCGCCGGCUCGCCCUGCUCUGUGGCUGGGUUUGUAUGACCGUUGUUUCUGUCGAGGCGGGGUUUGGAGCGGCGCUUGCGCCGCCGCUUUGACUACUUUUCGAGGGAACGAUCCUUCGCUGCGUCCUCCCGUUCCUCGUCGUCAUUUCCUUUGGGUGUGUCCACCAUAUAUACAUCGUGAGAUGAGGUGGUUGUCCAGUGCCCUGUAGGCGCUGGUUCCUGUUCGUCUCCUACAUCGUCGUCCAUACCGUCGAUGUCUUCGGAGUCGAAGUCGAGCAUGUUGGUCAAAUCAUCGACAGUGGCUAUGAAGUGGGUGGUGGGUGGGCGUCGAAUUUCUUCGUCGUCCGCAUCCCAAUCCUGCCGCUCAUAAUCCGGCUAGGACUCUCUUGAUAAGGAGAGAGACCUUAGUGAGUUCAGUAUGUCGCCAAAGGGCGACUGCUGAAAGAUAUCCGCGGUGGUGAACUCCAUGAUCGGUGCCCAAUCGGAUUCAAUUGGCAGAGGUGCGGAUGGUUCAGAGUCCGGAGGAGAGUCCGACAAUGUGUAGUCACGGGCCUCGCGAAGGAUAAGGUUUGUGUUCGGCUCGAUCGCCGUCGAGGUUGCGGCCUUCAUGGCGCGGUUCAACCACCCGUCCCUGGAUGGCGCAGUUGGCUCCGAAUUGAAGGUCGGAGCGACUGCAAGUGCGAUCUCCUGAACAUUGUCCGGUGGCAGAGCUAAAUCAUGCCCAUCGUGACAGUGCGGCGCACUUGGCAAGGGCUUGAAUCCGUUGAAGAUUAAGUCUCCGCGGAUGUCAGCCGUGUAGUUUAAACUUCCAAACCUAACCUGAUGGCCAGGGGCGUAGCUUUCAAUCUGCUCCAGAUGGCCAAGCGAAUUGGCCCGCAGUGCAAAGCCGCCGAAUACGAAGAUCUGUCCGGGGAUAAAAGUUUCACCCUGGACCGCAUCGCUAACGAUGAUCGAAGGAGCCAUCAAGCCUGAUGAUGACGACACAGAGGAACUCUCAAUGAAAGCACCAAUGUCGGUGUCAAAACCGGCGGAUCUCGGGUAGGGGGGCCCGAACCUGGGUAAAAACAUCGUGUCCCUUGUAUCUUGUUACCAUCCGCCUAGACGCACAGUUUGGGACCCCCUACCCGAGAUCCACUGGUUUUGACACCGACACUUGGGUUCUCCAUUCAUCGAGUGGGCUAAUAUCAAAUAACCUCUUCUCGCCGGCAAGUUUAAAAUCAUAAUUGAGCUCUUUAAUAGCCCAAUAUGCCUUGUGUUCUAGUUCGAGAGGUAAGUGACAUGCUUUUCCAUAAACCAUUUUAUACGGAGACAUACCCAUAGGAUUUUUAUAUGCAGUUCUAUAGGCCCAUAAUGCAUCAUCAAGUUUCUUGGACCAAUUCUUUCUAGACCUAUUGACAGUCUUUUGCAAAAUUAAUUUGAGCUCUCUAUUACUCAAUUCUACUUGACCACUAGACUGAGGAUGAUAAGGGGAUGCAAUUCUAUGAUUAACAUCAUACUGAGCAAGCAUUUUACGGAAAGCACCAUGAAUAAAAUGUGAACCACCAUCAGUGAUUAAAUAUCUAGGGACUCCAAAUCUUGGAAAAUUUACUUCUUUAAGCAUUUUAAUAGAAGUGUUAUGAUCAGCACUACUUGCUGGAAUAGCUUCUACCCACUUAGUAACGUAAUCAACAGCAACUAAAAUAUGUGUAUAUCCAUUAGAGGCAGGAAAAGGUCCCAUAUAGUCAAAGCCCCAAAUAUCAAAUGGUUCAAUAACGAGUGAAAAGUUCAUAGGAAUUUCUUGACGUCUGCUAAUAUUACCAAUUCUUUGACAUUCAUCACAAGAUAAGACAAACUUACAGGCAUCCUUGAAGAGAGUAGGCCAAUAAAAACCAGAUUGCAAUAUCUUAUGUGCAGUUCUAUCUCCAGCAUGGUGUCCUCCAUAAGCUUCGGAGUGACACUUGCGUAGGAUCUGUUCCUGUUCAUGCUUAGGUACACAACGUCUAAUAACACCAUCUACUCCUUCUUUAUAAAGAUGUGGGUCAUCCCAAAAGUAAUGCCUCAAAUCAUAGAAGAACUUUUUCUUUUGCUGGUAUGUGAAACUAGGUGGUAUGAAUUUGGAAACAAUGUAAUUAGCAUAAUCAGCAUACCAUGGGGCAGUAUGAGAAGCAUUUAUAACAUUUAAUUGCUCAUCAGGAAAGCUAUCAUCAAUAGGUAGUGGGUCAUCAAGCACAUUUUCUAACCUAGAUAAGUUGUCGGCAACGGGGUUCUCAGCUCCCUUUCUAUCAACAAUAUGUAAGUCAAAUUCUUGUAGCAAGAGAACCCAUCUAAUAAGUCUAGGUUUAGCAUCUUUCUUUUCCAUAAGAUAUUUAAUAGCAGCAUGAUCAGUGUGAAUAGUUACUUUAGAAUCAACAAUAUAAGGUCUGAACUUAUCACAAGCAAAUACAACUGCUAAGAAUUCUUUUUCAGUAGUAGCAUAAUUCCUUUGAGCAUUGUCUAGGGUUUUACUAGCAUAUUGAAUAACAUUUAAUUUCUUAUCAACUCUUUGCCCUAGAACAGCACCUAUAGCAUAAUCACUAGCAUCACACAUAAUUUCAAAGGGUAAAUUCCAAUCAGGUGGUUGAACAAUAGGUGCAGAGAUCAAUGCUUUCUUAAGUAUUUCAAAUUCUUCUACACAAUCAUCAUCAAAAACAAAUGGUAUAUCUUUUUGUAAUAAAUUAGUCAGAGGCCGAGAAAUUUUUGAGAAGUCCUUAAUGAACCUCCUAUAAAAACUGGCAUGACCAAGGAAACUUCUUAUACCUUUGAUGUCCUUGGGACAUGGCAUUUUUUCAAUAGCAUCAACCUUGGUUUAUCAACUUCAAUACCUCUUUCAAAAACUUUAUGCCCCAAGACAAUACCUUCAUUAACCAUAAAGUGGCACUUUUCCCAAUUCAAGACAAGAUUAGUUUCUUCUCUAAGUGCAUCUAGUGCCCCUUAGUGAUUUUGGUGUAUUGAAGACGUAUAGGUUAAGGGACUAAUGCGUUUGUGAGUGUACACAGGUCUAUAAGUCUAUGAGGAGUUUGAUAUUUACAGAGAAAGUCAACCGUUCUUCAACUGAAGACUUUGGAUUUGUAAAGACUUUCUGAAGACUUUGAAAGUGAAGAAAUUGGUGUGACCUUGAAGACUUGGUAUUCAUUCGAGGAACAUGAAGCGUGAAGACUUUUGUUUUCGUAGUUUCAUUUUCUCUUUAUUGAGUCAUAGGAAACACCGUACUAUUAAAGGGGUCGAGGAAAUACUAAGGAAAAAUUUCCAUGUGAUGCUCAACUCAAAUCCUACACCUAGCAAUCCCUCCGAGUGAAGCCAUUGGAAAUCUCAUACAGUUCAGUCAUAUUCUUCAGUGACAGAGACGAAGUUCUUCUGGUCUCUGACGAAUUUGUUCUGACUGAGGAGUUAGGAAUUCGCCAGUGAGGAUUGCCUACACAGUGAGGAACAUGAUAGCCCUGAGGAUUUCGCCACUCAAAAUUCCGACUGUUGCUAUGCUAUGCGCCAGCUGUCCCAAAAUAUCUAUCCACCUAACGGUCUUAUCUUUGAAGGGCAUUCAUGUCUUAUCAUGUUGGGCUGCUCCCUAGGCUAUAAAUAGCCACCCCCUACAACCACUAGCUGGUUGGCUGCUCCGAGAGAAACUGACACUUGUCAUUUGAGAGCAACCCAUCCUCCGAGGACUUUGAGCGAAAAUCAUUAAGUGAGGAAAACCCAAACCCAAACACCUACAAACCCCAAUUGAUUGAGCAUCACUGAAGAGAUUGAUCCUGCGUGGAUCCGAUGCUUGUUACCUUUAAAGACGGUGCUUCUUCCAGAUGGUUAGGCGUCAUGGUCUAGAACAUCCAAGAGGAAUUGUGGAUCGCCGAGUGACCAAGUUUGUGAAGGUUCGGAAGUCACCUGAAGACUUACCAUGAGUGAUUGGGCGAGGUCUAUGUGACCUUAGCUCAAGGGGAAUACGGUGAGGACUGAGUGUCCUGAGCUGCGUGUUCAGGACUGGGUGUCCGGGACUGUGUGUCCUCGGGUUUAAAUACCUAGCCGCCCUAACCAGACGUACAACUGAGACAGCAGUUGGAACUGGUCUACCAAAUCAUUGUCUUCACCAAGCUUACUGGUUCUAUUUACUCAACUCUUUCAUUUCCUCAUAACUGUGUUGUUUGCUUGUUCAUAUUUGUGCUUGAAGACUUUGACUGAAGAUUUUCUCAAUUUCCUCAGUUCAAUUUCUUCAGUCUGUUUUUCUUCAUCCUGUGUUAUCAUGUGCUUACGCUUUCUGUACUCUGUGCCUGUCUUCAUUUCAUCAUGAUGACUAUGCUUGUGUUAUGCUAUGUUUACUUUUGAGUACUUAUUCCGCUGCUAGUAGUUCUUCGCUAAGGAAUUUCCUCACCUGCAAAUUCCUUAGUGAAAAAUUCAUAAAAAUCGCCUAUUCACCCCCCUCUAGUCGAUAUAACGCACUUUCAAUUGGUAUUAGAGCAAGGUACUCCCUUGUUCUGCGUGAUUUUGGUUUAACCGCCUGGAGUUUAGUUAUGUCGACCGCAGGUAUGAAGAAAGUGACAUGCCCCAUCUUUGACGGUCACGAGUAUCCCAAGUGGAAGGCCAUGAUGAAGAAACGCCUCAUGGCGAUGAACAGCGAGCUGUGGACCGUCACUGAGAUUGGUCUGACCGAUCUGUGCAAGAUGGCGGAAGCAGAUGACAUUCGCAAGUACACUCUUCUCAACCUCACGGCGAAGGACGUCAUCUGCUCCUGUCUGUCUCAAAAUUAGUUCAGGAAUAUCAUGCAUCUCGAUCAUGCAAAGCUUAUCUGGGACCGUCUCUCUGAGGUCUAUGAAGGUCAUCGUACCUGUCAUGAUCCUUGGUUUGAGGACUUCAAGGAAUCUCUCAAAGCGAUGACAUUCAAACCAGAAUCAUCGUCUUCUGCAUCAUGCCUUAUGGCAAAAUAUGCUAAGGUAACUGAAUGCUACCUAUACGAGUCUAGUGAUGAUGAAUCUGGUGAUGAAUUUGGACCCAGCUAUGUCAAACUUGCUUCCCUUGCCACUAAACAACAAAGAGCUUUGGAAAAAGUUCAAUACAUGCUAAAUAAGAGCGAUGAUAUGUUGGGUGAAGAAAUGGAUCAGUCAAAAGCUUUGGCUGAAAGUCUUCAGAGACUUCAUACUAAGUAUGACACCCUUCAAGAUCAUCAUAACACUCUCUUAUCUAAUCAUGAGAAGCUUUCUUGUGAAUUUCUUCAAAGAAAGCAAGACCUUGAAAAGCUAAGCAUGAGUUAUGAAGAUCUUCAGAAGGAGCGUGAUUUAUUACUUGCUCAACAAAUCAGCGCUUCUCAGGAAGAAUUUGUUCCUCCUUGUUUGAAAUGCAUUGAACGUGAAUCUGCUAAUUCUUCACCUGAAUGUUCAAAUGCUUCUAAUGCUACAAAUUCUUCACCUGCCUCUGCUAUCACUAAUUCCUCAUCUGAGGACACUGCUAGUAUCACUGAUGAUGCAGGGCUGAAGGAAUUGUACAUGACAGGCAUGUACAAAAGCCUCAAAGGGCAUCAAACUAUUUGUGAUGUGCUUAAAAAGCAAAUCCUCAACAGGAACCCUAGGAAAGAGGGUAUUGCCUUUGAGAGGAAACUCAAUGCUGAUGGUACAUAUUGGAAGCCUGAGCAGUACCCCAAAACUACAUGGGUUGCUGCAAAGGGACCUCCAGUUGAUCCAUCUAACUUAUCUGGAUUUGCAUGUGACUCUCCUCGUUUUGAUGAUGAGUCAUUUGACUCCAACUAUAAACUGUUCAAAAAUCAGAAUGGUGAAGUAUUUGCUAGAUAUGUUGGCACUAACUGCAGGAAUGGUUCCCCUAUGAAAAAAAUCUGGGUUCCCAAAAGGUGCCAUGAAAGUCUUCAGGUGAAUGUCCUCAGGACACCACCUGUGAAGAAUAGGAACCCCAGAGCAAAUUCUUCAUAUAGACCAAAUUCUUCAUAUGGAUCCAAGUCCUCAUAUGAAUAUCAUUGUGCUAACAACUCUGUUUCGCAGGGAAGAGCUAAGGGCUAUGAAUAUGAGCAUUAUUCUUCUAAUCAUCAUGUUCAUAAGUCCUCGAAGAAUUUCUCUGCUUAUUCAUAUGCUUAUCCUAACUCCUCUUAUGUGAAACGAAAUGGACUGGCUUCUAUGCCACCUUUCUCGUAUGGAGCUCGCAGAGUGAUGAACUCUUUGCCACCCCUUGAAAUGUGGGUGGUGAAGAAAAAGAACUAAUCUCUUCUGCAGGAUCAGGUCUCCAGAUGUACGUAAUCGUCUGAAGAAUCUGCUAGAGACCUGAGUAUGCCUGAAAGGACGCAGGCUAAUCAGGAAGAAAUGAACUUUCAUUUCUCACGUCCUCAUACUGCUUUAUCUGUUCUUUUCCUUGACGAAAUUGAUCUGAUGAAUUGAUGUCAUAUUCUUCACUGAUGAAGUAUAUGAGUUCGUAAGUUGCACUAAUUCAUCUGCAGGAUGAUCAACCCAAAGCCACUGAGUGUGUCCUCGAUAGUGGAUGUACAAAUCACAUGACUGGUGACAAGAAUCUAUUGAUGGAUGCUCCAUUAUCUCCGUCGCAUUUGAAGCAUAUCAUCUUUGCCGACAAAGGCAAAAGUCAGGUAUUGGGUCUAGGUAAGGUUGCGAUCACAAAGGAUCGACACAUGGACAAAUUCAUGCUUGUCGAGUCCUUAGGAUACAACCUCAUGUCUGUCUCAAUGCUUUGCGAUCUUGAUAUGGUUGUUGUCUCUGGCAAGUACCGUUGUGUUGUGGUUAUGGAAGCUGACAAUUCCAAAGUCUUUGAAGGCUUUAGGAGAGGAGACCUGUAUGUUGUUGAUUUCUCUACAGGACCACAACUAGCCGUGUGCCUACUUGCAAAAGCUUCAGAAGGCUAGCUAUGGCAUCGACGACUUGGUCAUGCAGGCAUGAGGAAUCUGCACACGCUUGCGAAGAAGAAGCAUGUCAUCGGCAUCAAGAAUGUCAAAUUCCUCAAGGAUCACCUAUGUGGAGCCUGUGAAGCUGGGAAGAUGACAAAGGCUAAAACGGCGUCGUGGAGCGCAAGAAUAGGACUCUUGCUGAGAUGGCUCGCACUAUGCUUGAUGAAUACAAAAUGCCUCGUUGUUUCUGGAUUGAGGCAAUUGAUAUUGCGUGCCACAUCAUCAACAGAGUAUAUCUUCACAAAUUCUUCAAGAAGACUGCCUAUGAACUCCUCACUGACAAGAAACUCAAUGUAAGUUAUUUCAAAGUCUUCGGUGCUAAAUGUUGGAUUAGAGAUCCUCAUCGCAACUCAAAAUUUGCACUGAAAGCACAUGAAGGUUUUAGGCUUGGUUACGGAAAGGAUUCGCACACCUACAGAGUCUUCAACAACGUUCUUCACAAGGUUGUUGAAACUGUAGAUGUGCGGUUCGAUGAAACUAAUGGCUCGCAAAGAGAGCACCUACCUACUGUGAUAGAUGAACCAGCACCGGAGGAAACUAUCAAGUUCAAGGCUACUAAGGAUGUUAUUCCUACUGAAGAAUCUGCUGAAGAAUUCAUUCCAGAACAUGAAGAACGUCGAGCUAAUGCACCUGAAGAAAAUACUGAAGAAAAUGGUGCUGAAGAGAAUGAUGAUCAAAUUCCUCAAUGACAGCCAGCUCAUCCUCGCAUUGCAAAAGAAGUGCAAGUUGAAAAGAUCAUCAAUGACAUCAAAGGGCCAGGUCCUCUCACAUGCUCAAAAGCUUCACAUUUAUCUAACUUUUGUGGGCACUAUGCUUUGUCUCUAUCACAAAGCCCACUAAGGUAGAUGAAGCAUUUCUGGAGCCUGAGUGGAUUCAGGCCAUGCAAGAAGAAUUACAUCAGUUCGAGCUCAACAAUGUCUGGGAACUGGUCAAACGUCCAGAUCCUCGCAAGCAAAAUAUCAUUGGCACAAAGUGGAUCUAUCGCAACAAGCAAGAUGAAAAUGGCCUUGUGGUGAGGAAUAAGGCACGGCUCGUAGCUCAAGGCUACACACAGGUUUUGAAGAUCCAAAGAAUCCUGACAAAGUCUUCAGACUCAACAAGGCCCUCUAUGGCCUCAAGCAGGCCCCACGGGCGUGGUAUGAUACCUUGAAGGAAUUCUUCAUGAAGAAAGGCUUCAAACCCGGUUCACUCGAGCCUACUCUUUUCACUAAAUCUUAUGAUGGUGAAUUGUUUGUGUGCCAAGUAUAUGUUGAUGAUAUUAUCUUUGGUUGUACUGACCAACGUUAUAGUGAUGAAUUUGCCUACAUGAUGAGUGAAGAAUAUCAAAUGUCUAUGAUGGGAGAAUUAAAAUUCUUCUUAGAUCUUCAAAUUCGUCAACAACGCAAUGGCAUAUUCAUAUCUCAGGAGAAAUACCUCAAGGAUGUACUGAGGAAAUUCGGCAUGCAAGAUUGCAAAGGCGUCAAAAUUCCUAUGCCCACAAAUGGCCAUCUGUGCACUGAUGAAAAUGGUAUUGACUUCGAUCAUAAGGUAUACCGCUCCAUGAUUGGUUCUUUAUUGUACUUAUGUGCAUCUAGGCCAGAUAUAAUGCUUAGUGUUUGCAUGUGUGCCCGAUUUCCAGCUACACCAAAGGAAUCACACCAUAAGGUUGUGAAGCACAUUCUUUGAUAUCUAGCUCACACACCAACACUUGGAUUAUGGUACCCCAAGGGCUCGGCUUUUGAUCUCAUUGGAUAUUCUGACUCUGACUAUGCUGGUGAUCAUGUGGACCGCAAGUCAACAUCUGGUACAUGCCAUUUCCUCGGACGAUCUUUUGUCUGUUGGUCCUCGAAGAAACAGAACUGAGUAUCACUAUCUACUGUUGAAGAUGAGUACAUUGCCGCUGGUUCUUGCUGUGCUCAAUUGCUAUGGAUGAAGCAAACUCUCAAGGACUACGGCGUCAACAUGAAGAAUGUGCCUCUCUUCUGUGACAAUGAGAGUGCCAUCAAGAUUGCUCACAACCCAGUUCAGCACUUGAAGACUAAGCACAUUCAGAUUCCUCAUCAUUUUCUUCGUGAUCAUGUGUUGAAGGGCGACAUUUCUAUUGAGCAUGUGAAGACUGAAGAACAACUGGCCGAUAUCUUCACAAAGCCCUUGGAUGAGAAGAGAUUUAGCAAGUUGCGGUGUGAGCUAAAUAUCCUAGAAUCUUCGAAUGUUCUUUGAAAAGGACACUCAUCCUAACACUUAUGCAAAAUUGAUGACUUAGAUGUGCAACACAUGAAGAAACGUUUUCCUUCAAUCAAUGAAGAAUAACACUCUAAGUGUGAAGAAAUUAACGAAGAAUUUGAUUCUCAGAACCCUACGAUAAUUGUACGCGGUGUCUGAAAUCAUCAUUCUUAUACGGUGGGUCACGCCACCACCAAAAGUUGAAAUUCCUCAGUUGUUCAAAUUCUUCAACUUUUCAUUGUCUUCACUGUUUCCAUUGUUUUUCUUCAUUGACUAUAUAUAUAUAUAUAUAUAUAUAUGAGUUUAUGCCCUCUACAACAUUCACUUAUGGCUACUUCUUCAAGUUGGUUUUUCUACUAAGUGAAUGUGAUCGGACCCUUCCCCUCUAUGCUAUACUCAACCCAAUCUAUUCACAAAUUCUUCAUGUGUGUUCUAUUUGAAACUCGUUCAAAAUCUUCACUGUGUCCUUGUCAGCGGAAGAAAUUGCGAACGGAACUUUUAACUUAUCUUAUCCAAAAAAAUUGGCAUUGCCGCUCAAACCGUUUCGCAUCCCACGACAUACUUAUCCACUCACCCACGAUCUCCACUUCUCAGUAUGUGGGUGACACAUGUCAUGCGAAUGAUAAGGGUCAGGGGCACGUUCGUCCAAAUUCUUCGGGCGAACGGUUUUCACCAUGGCUAUAAAUACCCCUCUCCCCUUCCUCACUUAUUUUACUCCGCUCGACCUCUCUCCAGCUCGAGCUUCUCAAACCCUAGUGCCGCCGCUACUUCAUCAUCGCCGGUGAGGAAGAGCUUCACUGCCUCGACCUCAUCGCCAUCGUACUCGCGCCGGCCGUGGAAAUCUUCACUCCGCCGCCGCCGUAGCUGUCUUCCUCCACUAAGUUAGGGCGUGGAAGAUCUGCACUGACGAACUUCACAUCUCCUCACUCCAGUUUGUCGUGUUCUUCAUUCAGGGUAAUUAAAAGUUACUUUUACUGCCCUCGUUGAUUCGAAUGAUUAUCUACAAAAUCUCCAAAGGUGUUUUUCUUCAUAUCUUCACACACUAAAACACCUCUCAUAUCAUUUGUUCUUGAUUCAUUUCUCUAAGCUGCGAAUUUCUCGUCAAGAUUCCUCAAUUGUGCGGAUUUCUGAUCUAUACAACUCUGGAACCUAGGACUAAGAACGCUUAGUGAAAUUCUUCAAGACUUAUCGGGUCAAAUUCCUCAAACUUGUUCUUUAUAAAACCUUCUGAGAACGCAUAUGACAUCUCCAAAUUCCUUGCAACUAUACUCUGUUCACAGGUACUCAUGUCAGCUGCUGAAUCAUUAGGUUCUCAUCAACUUAACUCAUUUGCAGCGUUCCUCGAAGAAAAGUUGCAUACUUCUUCAGAGAAUUCAAUUGUUCAAAUUCCUCAACUGAAGAAAAUGGCUGACGGUAAGAAGCCACAGAAAGGAGGAAAGACGGCUGAGGUCAACACAGCGUUUGAGAUCCCUGAUGAUAUAUAUGUUGGGUACUGCACACCUCCUGAGGAAGACAAAAAUCAGCGCAAGGUGCGCAUUCAGAAGAUAGACAGGAGAUGGGCUAGAGAGUGGAGAGAGUACAGAUAUGUCACUCCCAAAUACAUGAAUAAAAUUCGCACUCAAUCCUCCAUGCCCAAGACCUCCAUUGGCACCUGGCCAAAUAGCUGAUCCCACUAGCCUCAAGCGUGGUGAGGAUUAUCCUGAUGAAUGGGCCAAGCGCCAAGCCAAGUUGGCUAAACAAGCCAAAGAAGCUGUGAGGAAAUUCAACGAAGACUCUGUUGCUGUUGCUGAGGCCUCUGUCAAACCUAAGAAGGCCAUGUCAAAGAAGCCUGCGCACAAGCCAAGUGCUUCACCUUCAGUGGUUUCAAGGCCAAGUUCCUCAGCAAUGCCCUCACGGCCAGAAUCUUCAAAGCCCUCAAGGCCAACUUCUCAUGUUGCUCCUGCUCCUCACAAGUCCUCAGCUGCUCCGACAAAGUCCUCUGCACCUGUGCAUCUCGCCACGUGUCAAAGGACCACAGGCGUCUCAAUUGCCUCAGGAGCUUCAGCUAGUUCCUCAGCUGCACCAAAUUCUUCAACGGGACCCUCUCUACUGAAGACAAAGUCCACUGCUGGACGAGGUCCUCGCCCUAGUCCUCAGAAGAAGCAGGUCGCCUUCCAAGUGUCUUCUGAAGAGGACGAAGCUGAUGAUGAUGAACUUGCUGAAAUCAUCACAGAUAGGCAAGUCAGGGCCGGUAGAGCCAAGGGAACAGAUGUGCCACUACUUUUGGAUCCAAAGUUGAUCCUCGAAUACAUUGAUGUUUGGCACAAGGACCCCAACACUCCCAUGCCUGACUUCAAGUUGACUCCUGGCCAAAGUCACAUGCUGACCCACUUCAUACAAGAAGAAAAAUGGAAAUAUGAGAAGGCCAGGCAGAUCAAGAAAGCGCAGUACAAGAAGGAGCGCUAUCUGAAGAAAAACGUUGUCUCUAUGACAACUGAAGAACUUGUCGCUGUUCAAACUGAGAUCAAUAAACUCAGUGAUGAAUUUGACGCAUACCGCGCUGACUGGCUUGGAGCCAAGGUGCGCUUUGUGAAACUUGCGGAUAACUUCACCUCAAAUGUUGCAGCCCCAACGCAACAGGAAGUUCCUCAGGCUGAAGCAUCUGCUCAGCCGACUGAAGAACAUGCCAGCACCGCUGAUGAAAAUCAGGCUGCUGAAGAAAAUGUGAGUUCCAGGGCUGAUGACUGCAUACCAGCCGCUGAAGAAAUUUCCAGGGCACCCACUAGUGGUGCGCCUGAAGAAUAUGAAGAAAUCAGGGCAACUUCAUCAGUUGUGCCUGAAGAAAAUCAACCAGAUUCCUCUGCUCCUCCUGCGCCAACACCAACUCUGAUCCUUCCAUCUGCAUCAGAUGUGAAGAAAACCAAGGCUGCAGAGCGUGCAGCAAUGAAGAAAGGAAAGCAUCAGCUACUUCAGAUUCUUCAGCUCCGAAGAAGAUGAAGCCUUUGACCAGCUUGUUUGAAAAUCCCAUUGAUGGUGUUCCUCUCUCUACCAUGCCAUCAAAGGACCUUGUUCCUUUCGAUGAAGAAUAUGUGAUCCCCAGCGGAUCUGAUGAAGAAACUCCUUCUGUUGUUUCAUUAGAGCAGUUGGAUAAAGAAAUUGAAGUGGGUGAGAUCCCUUCAACACCUAUCAUUUCCUCGCCUCUACCUCAGUGCACUGCCGAAGAGGCUGGCGCUGAAGAAAUGGAAGAUGAAGAUGUGGACGUUGGCUGCUCCACACCAGUGAUGAGUGAUGAAUUCUGGGAAAGUCAGCAUCCAAACUCUCCAAUGUUCACACCAUUGCAGCAAAUACCUCGGUCCCCUGCACAAACUGUUCAAAUGGGCUCUGAAGAAACACACCCCACUUCAUCUAUACGUGAAGAAAUUCUAGCCACUAGUGCUGAAGAAACUGUUGUUGCUGAACAUCUGAAGACGCAGACUGCCAUUGAAGAGGAACCAAAAAUUCCUCAACCUGAAGAACUUGUGUUUGAGAUUCCUGAGGUUGUGAUGCAACUCACUGACACUCCUCUACCCAAGCCAAAUGAUCCAUUCUCUAGGAAGCAAAAAUUCAAGGCUGAUGAUUUCUUCGGCGAGCACGUAUUCUUCACAGACUACAACCCUUAUGACUCUCUCGCAUUAGGAAGAGGCGUUUCUGGACAGCCAGCCAAGCCAAUUUCUAUUCCUCGGUGCUGUUCAAUAAAAACAAAAUCUUCUACCAUGAGCACAUUCCUCAUGUGGAUAUGGAAUCUCUACCGUGCUUCAUGCUAGUCCUCAGUGUUCUUCACGACGCUGGACUGUUAAAUUUCUGCUCUGACAUCUGUGAUUGGAAUGAAGAACUGAUUCUUCAAUUUUAUUCGACGCUGCACAUCACAGGAGAUUCUGAAGAUGUCAAUUCAUGGGUGUUGGACUGGAUGUCUAAGAACACUCACUACACAGCACCAGCUACUGAAUUGCUUCAUGCCUUACCACUCAGUCCUCCCCUUGAAGAAGCUCGUUGCAAUUAUAGUGAACCUGAGCUUACAAAUCACUACAUGCAAGUUCUGGUGAAAUCUUUGAAGCCAGGUCAGGCCCCACGAACCAAAUUACUCGUGAAGGAAUUACUAUAUGUGCCCAGAACUGUCUAUCGCAUUCUAACGAGGACAAUGAGUCUCAUCAAAGGCCAUGACUCAUCUGAUGAGGAAAUUGUUGGCAUCAUGAAGAAUCUGGUAUUCAAUAUCGUUCAUGGCAUUCCUGUCAAUUAUCACGAUUUCUUCAUGAGGACUCUGGCAAAUGUUGCACUUUCUCCGUUUGAGCUGAAGCCUUAUGCACCUUGGAUUAUGAGAUUCCUCAGGACAAGGUCUUCACUCAACUACAAAGCUGAUUUUCAGAAUCACCUCAGCUACUUGCCCCCGAUUGAAGUCCUCAAGCAGACCUAUUCCUCAGUUGAUGAAAAGGGCAAGGCACCAGCUGUUAUAGAUGAAGGCAUUCGUCCAUUGGAUGGACAGUUUCGCAAAGCUGCAUCUUAUUCCACCAAUGAUGACUCUGCCACACAUGACUCUGCCAAUGCACCCAAGUCUACUCCUCAAGCCACUGCUCCUCGUGUGAUGACUGAUCGUGAGCUUUUGCUUAGUCUUCACCAGAAGGUGGAUCGAAAUCAUAAAUGGUUAAGCGUCAGUUUGGUUCAUUUCAUCACAACAUGACUUCUACGCACAAUGCAGUGAAGAAAAACCAUUGCUACCUCCAUGAAGUUUUCGGUCGCACCUGGGCCAUUCUAUCACAUCUGUAUGGUGAAGAAGAUCUCAAGAAAAUGGGUCUCAAGGAAGAUUUUGACUGGUCUGCACCUCCACCGAAGAAAUUCAAGAAGGUCAAGGCUCCUUCUUUGGUGUCCAGCUCAUAUUCUUCAUCACGUGAUACCGACGAGUACGAAGACUUGGACGACACUGCGGCAGGCCCUUCCACGACAAAUGACCCCAACAACGAUGGCGCUCCUUCAUCAACUUGAUAUUCUUCAAGGGCGUUAGUCCUCAUAUUUGAUCUUUUUGGUCAUCUGAUGACAAAGGGGGAGAAUUUUGAGUUAGUCUUCAAGCAGGUCUUUCUAUAUGGGCAUUUUUUUGUUAAGUUACAACUCUCGUUCUUCUGAGACUUUUUUGGAUCGAGUUGUAAACUCAAACACGAUGGUGCUCUGAUACUUUUGAUAUGUUUUUCUGCAUGCUUAUUCCUCAUAUAUGUUAAUGCAUGCAUGCUGAAUGACAUCAGUCACCAUAUUUCAUCAUGCAUUUCAAAUUCUUCAUUGUGAUAUGUCAAAUGCGUGUAUGAAUUACAAGAUAUAGGGGGAGAUCUCCAUGAUUCUACUCUUCAAGUGUGUAAUGCUUCAAAAGCAAAUACCUCACCAUGCACAUAUUCACGGGGAGUUCUUCUAUAUCUUGCAAUCAAAUUCCUCAAUAUCAGUAUUUACACUUCAUAUGUUUAUCCUCGUUGAAAACUUAACCUAUAUUGUCAUCAAUCACCAAAAAGGGGGAGAUUGUAAGUGCAUCUAGUGCCCCUUAGUGAUUUUGGUUUAUUGAAGACUUAUAGGUUAAGGGACUAAUGGGUUUGUGAGUGUACACAGGUCUAUAAGUCUAUGAGGAGUUUGAUAUUUACAGAGAAAGUCGACCCCUAAAAAUGAAGUUCUUCGACUGAAGACUUUGGAUUUCUGAAGACUUUCUGAAGACUUUGAAAGUGAACAAAUUGGUGUGACCUUGAAGACUUGGUAUUCAUUCGAGGAACAUGAAGCGUGAAGACUUUUGUUUUCGUAGUUUCAUUUUCUCUUUCUUGAGUCAUAGGAAACACCUACUGUUAAAGGGGGUCGAGGAAAUACUAAGGAAAAAUUUCCAUGUGAUGCUCAACUCAAAUCCUACACCUACCAAUCCCUUCGAGUGAAGCCAUUGGAAAUCUCAUAUAGUUCAGUCAUAUUCUUCAGUGACAGAGACGAAGUUCUUCUGGUCUCUGAUGAAUUUGUUCUGACUGAGGAGUUAGGAAUUCACCAGUGAGGAUUGCCUACACAGUGAGGAACAUGAUAGGCCUGAGGAUUUCGCCACUCAAAAUUUCGACCGUUGUUGUGCUAUGCGCCAGCUGUCCCAAAAUAUCUAUCCACCUAACGGUCUUAUCAUUGAAGGGCAUUCAUGUCUUAUCAUGUCGGGCUGCUCCCUAGGCUAUAAAUAGCCGCCCCCUACAACCACUAGUUGGUUGGCUACUCUGAGAGAAACUGACACUUGUCAUUUGAGAGCAACCAAUCCUCCGAGGACUUUGAGCGAAAACCAUCAAGUGAGGAAAACCCAAACCCAAACACCUACAAACCCCAAGUGAUUGAGCAUCAUUGAAGAGAUUGAUCCUGCGUGGAUCUGACACUUGUUACCUUUGAAUACGGUGCUUCUUCCAGACGGUUAGGCGUCAUGGUCUAGAGCAUCCAAGAGGAAUUGUGGAUCGCCGAGUGACCAAGUUUGUGAAGGUUCAGAAGUCACCUGAAGACUUACCACGAGUGAUUGGGUGAGGUAUGUGUGACCUUAGCUCAAGGGGAAUACGGUGAGGACUGAAUGUCCUGAGCUGCGUGUUCAGGACUGGGUGUCCGGGACUGUGUGUCCUCAGGUUUAAAUACCUAGCCGCCCUAACCAGACGUACAACUGAGACAGCAGUUGGAACUGGUCUACCAAAUCAUUGUCUUCACCAAGCUUACUGGUUCUAUUUCCUCAACUCUUUCAUUUCCUCAUAACUGUGUUGUUUGCUUGUUCAUAUCUGUGCUUGAAGACUUUGACUGAAGAUUUUCUCAAUUUCCUCAGUUCAAUUUCUUUAGUCUGUUUGUCUUCAUCCUGUGUUAUCCUGUGCUUACGCUUUCUGUACUCUGUGCCUGUUUUCAUUUCAUCAUGAUGAAUAUGCUUGUGUUCUGUUAUGUUUACUUUUGAGUACUUAUUCCGCUGCUAGUAGUUCUUCGCAAAGGAAUUUCCUCACCUGCAAAUUCCUUAGUGAAGAAUUCAUAAAAAUCGCCUAUUCACCCCCCCCCCUCUAGUCGAUAUAACGCACUUUCAUCUUCACAUCUCUGCAAAACUCGAUCAAGGUUGCUCAAGAAAUCAUCAAAAGAAGAUCCAUAGAUGGAGAAAUCGUCCAUGAAAACCUCACAAAUCUUUUCACAAAAGUCAGAGAAUAUAGCCAUCAUGCAUCUUUGAAAGGUAGCAGGUGCAUUACAUAAACCAAAAGGCAUACGUCUAUAGACAAAAGUACCAAAAGGGCAAGUAAAAGUAGUCUUUGAUUGAUCCUUGGCUGACACAGGUAUUUGAGAGAAACCAGAAUAACCAUCUAGAAAGCAAAAAUGUGUAUGUUUGGAUAAUAUUUCUAGCAUUUGAUCGAUAAAAGGUAAGGGGUAAUGAUCCUUUUUAGUGGCCUUAUUUAAUUUGCGGAAAUCAAUUACCAUCAUAUAACCUGUAAUAAUUCUUUGAGGAAUCAAUUCAUCUUUAUCAUUAGGAACGACAGUAAUAUCUCCCUUCUUAGGGACACAAUGGACAGGACUUACCCACUGACUAUCAGCAACGGGAUAGAUUAUACCUGCCUCAAGGAGCUUUAGUAUUUCCUUUCUUACCACUUCUUUCAUUUUAGGAUUUAGCCGUCGUUGAUGAUCACGAACUGGUUUAGCAUCUUCUUCCAAAUUUAUUUUAUGUUGACAUAGAGUGGGACUAAUGCCCUUAAGAUCAUCAAGAGUAUACCCAAUAGCAGCACGGUGCUUCUUUAGAGUUUUCAAUAAUCUCUCUUCCUCAUGCUCUGAAAGGUUAGCACUAAUAAUAACAGGAUAAUCUUUUUCUCAUCAAGAUAAGCAAAUUUAAGAGUAUCAGGCAACGGUUUAAGCUCAAACACGGGAUCACCCUUGGGUGGAGGAGGAUCCCCUAGGAUUUCAAUAGGCAAAUUGUGUUUCAAAAUAGGUUCCUGUUUAAAGAAUACUUCAUCUAUUUCCCUUCUUUCAUUCAUAAACAUAUCAUUUUCAUGGUCUAGGAAAUAUUGUUCUAAAGGAUCACUAGGAGGUACGGCAAUAGAAGCAAGACCAAUAAUUUCAUCCUUACUAGGUAAUUCUUCUUCACGGUGUUGUCUACUAAAUUUAGAGAAAUUAAAUUCAUAAGACAUAUCAUCUAAACCGAUAGUAACAACAUCCUUUUUGCAAUCUAUCCUAGCAUUAACAGUGUUUAAGAAUGGUCUACCAAAUAUAAUGGGACAAAAGCUAUCUUGUGGGGAACCAAGAACAAGAAAAUCAGCAGGAUAUUUAGUUUUCCCACACAAGACCCAAUGAUAACAGUCAUAAAAACAACAGUCUCCGCUCCCGCAUAACAUCCUCCGUUCUUCUUGGUUUUGAUGACGAAAUUAUCUGAGUUGGUUACUAGUUGAUUGCAUCCAAACUUUUGCGCAAGGGAUAAUCCAAAUCUUAGCGCCAAUGUCUAAGUCAUUAGGACAUCCGUGCACCAAUUAAUUCUCAAAUUUUCCCCAACAAUAAAAUUACGUUUCUGAUCUCUCUGAGCAGCACCAGUUCUACCCCUUAGCAAGUAUCGAUCGAAGGAAACACUAAUGUUGAGUUUUCCAAAAACCUUAGGGGCCUAACCCAACGGAAAUGACAUUCGGCUCCCGGGAGCACGUGCUCCUACCUAUGGAAAAUGAAUUUUGAAAUGUCAAAAAAAUCCCAACAAAAAAUGUAUGUGUUCUUUGGCACAUCCAAAUGCUACCUAAAAAUUCUUAGGCAAAAAGGUUAAGCAUUUUGGCAUGUGCAAAAAAAAUUGAACAUCAAUUGUUACCCCCAAAAUGUCACACCAGAAUGUUUUUUCACCGACAAAACAACGCUGCUCCAUUUCGCAUGAAAAUUAUCAAUCAUUCCUACCACACCAACAUGAGCAUCUACACAAAAAAUCAUUUCUUAAUAUUAUUUUUUAUUUUACUGUUCAUCAAGGUGCAAAUGCACUCGGGAGCCAAAACACCUCGCCCUCCUAAUCCAACCCCCUCUUUUCAUGGUAGCAGUUGCAGAGGAAGCAAUGCCAUAACUAGACAUAAGCGCCUGGAUCCCCAUGUUAAUAUGAUUCACAUCUUGAGACGUCUCCUCAUGGAUUAGUUUGUGCCUUUCCCACCAUAAGUACCAAGUGAUAAUGGCUAUCAUUUCAUGCACAUUCUGCAUACCCAAAAGAGAUAACUUCUGAUCAAGUAGAAGAAGUGGAAACUCAAGUACAACCUCUCCGGCUGGAUAAAUUCACAAGCCCUUCUAAUAAUUUCAUCCAACCCCAGCAUCCUCCAAACCUCUUUAGCUUUAUAACAUAGGAACAUCAAGUGCUUCGAACUUCUGCUCCAUCCAAACAAGAAGGUCAUUGAGGAAAAACUUUGAUAUGUCUAUUAGCAAGCAUAACAUGACAUGGGAGGCUGCCUGUGGAACCCCAGCUCAGAGCAACCGGUUUACCUUGCAUUGCCAUCCCAGAGAUCUAGUCUUCUGGCAACACACAACAACUUGGUACAGAAAAACAACAGCUUUAUUGACAUAAGCGAGAACAUAGGUUUGAUAUUACAACAAGUAGCGAGGCCAAGCGGCACACACGGUGCGGCUGGACAAUAUGUACAUUAUUUAAUGAACAUAAGAGGGGCCUUGGUCACGACGAAACGACUACGCGGCAGCGUAAGAACAACGAAGCGGAACUCCAUAGCACAAGGACAUCGAUGUGGACACGGCCUAGACGCGGGUAGCACUCUGAUCCGGUACAACUUUCCUAAAAGCUGGCAUGACAUGUCAGGUUAGUCAGUACAUUGAAUGUACUUGCAAGCUCACAACAAAUAAAGCAUAAUGACAAACAAUAACAUGACGAUUAAGCAAGUUAAAUGCAAGAACUACUCAUGAUGCUCAUUAAGUGAAUAUGCACGUGACUAGAGUCCCUCGGACUCGCUUAUCAUCACGAUUAACUCGUAACCUCAAACCACAUCAUCAUCACAGUGAUCACCUCCGGAUCACAACAGAAACCAUCACUAUGGUUCCAACAAUGUAUCCAUCAUAACCAGUGCCACAAGUUUACUUAGUGUGCAUGUUAGCUUAUUUAUGUUGAUCCACGGUGUGACCUACUAUGAACUGUGUCCAUGACCGAGGACACGGCUAUCGAUAGAUUAAACACACACUCUACAGAGGUUAGCACACUGUACCCACACCACGGUAUCCAUGGCCUCGCACUCCCAUUCGGGUGGACCAACGGCAUUUUGACAGAACCAAUCCAUUGCCAUGACACUCUCCCGGCCACUCCGACCAACUCCCCAUUGGGCUAAGUCAUGGGUGGCCCCGAUGCCACUCUGGACAUCCAACGACCACCGCCGUGGAAAAGCAUAAAUGGUCCCGAAUGGGAACAAGGUACCAUAACAACAACGGGCACACAAGGUUAAGUCUGCCUGCCAGGCAAGGGUAGCGCACGCGCAUAACCUUCCCUCGUUGGAGGCACCAACCAAAGGCAUGACAACGGACCGAAUAAGGGCCUUCCCACAAAGGCAAAUGUGGUUGCACUGAGAAGCUCAAUUCGGUGGCACCAUGACUUGAUCAACAUUAUGUUCAAGUCGGAUUAUUCAUCAUAUUAAACUUGAAAUAAAAUACUCGAACCAUAGUAUGCCAUGAAAAUGCAUCUAUAUGAACAUGCAUCAUCAUGAUACCGGAAAGUAAUUACUCAUGCUCAAUGAUCAUAUCAAUGGCCAAGCUAAACCACUUAACAUGCUAAUGGACAUGAAGUAAUCAUAGCAAGAACUUGAUUCUACCAUAUGCUAAUAAUAUUCACCAUAAAGAAAUAAUACCGAUAAAUAUUCUACUCAAGAUCAUGCUCAAAAUAACUCCUAUACUACAUACUAGAUCAUGCACUCAUAAGCUACUGAAAAACUAGACAGGCAUACCAAGAACUUGCAACUAGCAUUAUUGUGAUUAACCAAAUAUUUAAAUGCAUGAAAAUAAGUCAUAUUCAAGUUGGAAAUCAUGAUUAUUGUAAUGGCAUUCUGCAAAUAUUUGUGAUGGCUUGCCUUAGCACAGAGGAGGUUCAGACUCCUCCUGGAUCUCCUCAAGGCAAGUUUCUCCUUCUGAAAACAUUUAAAAGUGACAAAAGAAAAUGUCACAUAACACAUUUAAAUACCACAGAAAAGAUUUACAGCGGGCAAAAAUCUCAUCUUUUGCAUGCUGAAAGAGAAGAGCAAGACAAAAUUAGUGCAAAAAGAAUCAACUCAUUUGGACUUAUAGAAUAGGAGUUAUAGAUGGUCAAAGUUGAGUCAAAAUAUUUGAAUUAAACUGAAUAUUAGAAAAACCAGAGCGGCUGACGUCGAAGACGUAUUCCAGGGAAUGCGCCUCCACUCAUGCCGCUUCGGGCAUGCGCUGUGAGGCUGGCAGCGGGCCCGCCUGGUCAGGUGAGAGAGAGGGAAAGAGAAGAAAUAGAGGAAGCGGUUGUCACCGGUGCGUAUGCCGGCGAGGAGAGCUCGGCGGCCGCCGUGGAAGGGAAGGAUGGACGUGUGAUGACCCACAAGUAUAGGGGAUCUAUCGUAGUCCUUUCGUUAAGUAAGAGUGUCUAACCCAACGAGGAGCAGAAGGAAAUGAUAAGCGGUUUCCAGUAAGGUAUUCUCUGCAAGUACUGAAAUAAGUGGUAACAGAUAGUUUUGUGAUAGGAUAAUUUGUAAUGAGCAACAAGUAACAAAAGUAAAUAAAGUGUAGCAAGGUGGCCCAAUCCUUUUUGUAGCAAAGGACAAGCCUGGGGAAACUCUUAUAUAGAGAAAAGCGCACCCGAGGACACAUGGGAAUAUCGUCAAGCUAGUUUUCAUCACGUUCAUAUGAUUCGCGUUCGGUACUUUGAUAAUUUGGUAUGUGGGUGGACCGGUGCUUGGGUAUUGUCCUUAUUUGGACAAGCAUCCCACUUAUGAUUAACCUCUAUUGCAAGCAUCCGCAACUACAACAAAAGUAUUAAGGUAAACCUAACCAUAGCAUGAAACAUAUGGAUCCAAAUCAGCCCCUUACAAAGCAACGCAUAAACUAGGGUUUAAGCUUCUGUCACUCUAGCAACCCAUCAUCUACCUAUUACUUCCCAAUGCCUUCCUCUAGGCCCAAAUAAUGGUGAAGUGUUAUGUAGUCAACGUUCACAUAACACCACUAGAGGAGAGACAACAUACAUCUCAUCAAAAUAUCGAACGAAUACUAAUUUCACAUGACUACUAAUAGCAAGACUUCUCCCAUGUCCUAAGGAACAAACGUAACUACUCACAAAGCAUAAUCAUGUUCAUAAUCAGAGGGGUAUUAAUAUGCAUAUAGGAUCUGGACAUAUGAUCUUCCACCAAAUAAACCAACUAGCAUCAACUACAAGGAGUAAUUAACACUACUAGCAACCUACUAGUACCAAUCCCGGACUUGGAGACAAGAAUUGGAUACAAGAGAUGAACUAGGGUUUUGAGAGGAGAUGGUGCUGGUGAAGAUGUUGAUGGAGAUUGCCUAUCCCGAUGAGAGGAGUUUUGGUGAUGACGAUGGCGAUGAUUUCCCCCUCCCGGAGGGAAGUUUCCCCGGCAGAACAGCUCCGCCAGAGCCCUAGAUUGGAUCCGCCAAGGUUCCGCCUCGUGGUGGCGGAGUUUCAUCGGAGGAGAUGGCUUAUGAUUUUUCUCAUCGAAAGACUCCAUAUAGCAGAAGAUGGCCAUCGGAGGGCCACCAGGGGGGCCACGAGGUAGGGGGCGCCCAGGGGGUAGGGCGCUCCCCCCACCCUAGUGGGCAGGGUGUGGCCCCCCUGGUGAACUUCUUGCGCUUAGUAUUUUUUAUAUAUUCUGAAAACGUCCUCCGUGAAGUUUCAGGACUUUUGGAGCUGUGCAGAAUAGGUCUCUAAUAUUUUCUCCUUUUCCAGCCCAGAAUCCCAACUGCAGACAUUCUCCCUCUUUAUGUAAACCUUGUAAAAUAAGAGAGAAUAGGCAUAAGUAUUGUUACAUGAUGUGUAAUAACAGCUCAUAAUGCAAUAAAUAUCGAUAUAAAAGCAUGAUGCAAAAUGGACGUAUCAACGUGCAAGGUCACGGCGCACCUGCAUGUACCUGAAACGUGGAGAGAGGUGAUCGGAAGAGGUCGGCGUGGUCGUCUCCAGCGGCUGCAGCAGACGGAGCUUGUCGGAGAAGAAGACGCCUGUGGCGAGAGGCAGUUUUAGGGGCUCUAGAGGCGUCAGCUCGAACCAGUGGACCACCAGGAACACGCCGGAGAAGACGAUGGAGCUCAAGAGGCAGUGGUUUGGUGCUCGGAGAGGGGUGGGAUGAGUUGUAUUUAUAGGCGGAGGGGAGGGGGGUCUCGCGCUCGCUGGAGGGCUCUGGAAGCGGGGCUCGGCAACAACUAGCGCCAGUGAGAGAGGGGGGAAGCUCCAUGGCUCACGUGGCCACUAUGGGAGGGCGCCGACGAGCACAGGGCGCAGGUGGAUACGAGCACAGGGGCACAGGUGCACUAUGCACUUGGCCUCAUCGUGCCCGUGCUCGCUGCGACGAACUCCAGCAUCGGUGAGCGGCAGGGGCGGGUCAAGGGCGAUUAGUCAAGGGUGGUGGCGCGGUGCGACAGGCUGGGGCGAGCUCCAACCCGUCCACGAGCAAAACAGAGGCACUGGCGCGACGCAGAGCACGCCGACUGCAUGCCAGGGGCCUUGUCCUCGCGCGGUCACCGCGUGAACUCUGGCAUCACGCGGCCUGAGCUGUUCAAAUCAUGUCUGGUGUGUAGUUCGUGCAGUGAGGGGUCUAGGGAUGUGGAUGGCACACUGCCAGGCCGACCAAGAUAGACAUGAGAGGGGGAGCAAGUUUCUGGACAGAAAAUUGUGAGCAAUAUUUGGAUAGGUUCUACAAGGAGUUUAGUAAUGAUCUUUGGAGGUUAAGGUUUACUUAGGAAGGUAAUGAAGCUCAAGAAAAAUCAGCUUCAUUGGAUCAAGGAAAAAUACACUUCCAUUAUAUAGUGCAUUUGAGGACAGAAUGCAGAUGAGGCUUUAGAGAAAAAAUGCUCCACAUACUCAUGAGAUAUUUUUGCAUGGAGUGAUGAGGCAUGAUGCAAAGGAGUUGUGGGAAUUCUCGGAUUUUUCUAAGAAAGGAAAAGAGGGGUUGCUUUGGGAUAGAAGUGAAAAUAAGUCAUUUUCAGAAUGAAAAUGGUUUUUUUCCUUUGAAAGAAAAAUUCCCAAAGCUAUGUUAUGACAUAAGAGAGGUAAAGAGAGGAUGUGGGAGGUGAAUGGAGCCACUUGGGUGAAUGCCAAAAUAAUUCCCAAGUGCUAAGUCCAAAUAAAUUCAUUCAAAAACUCAUUUUCCAAUAAAAUGGCAAAUAAACCCAAGAGAAUAAAUGCUGGCAAAAACCAGGGUGUCACAAACCUCCCCCACUUAGGAUGAAUCUCGUCCCGAGAUUUGGUUGCUCGGGAAAACAACUCUGGAUAGAAAGCUCUCAAAAAGUCUUCUCUUUCCCAUGUAGCAUCAUCCUCGGUAUGGUGUUCCCACUGUACCUUAUAGAACUUAACUGUCUUGCUGCGGGUGACUCUUUCCAUCUCAUCCAAUAUCCUGAACGGUUUCUCCUCAUAAGUCAAAUCCUUAGCAAGCUCUAUCUCUAUCAUAUCGGUCCUUUUCUCGGGUGGUGAUAUACACCUUCUUAACUGUGAGACGUGAAACACAUCGUGCACUUCUGACAAUUCCGAUGGAAGUUCCAACUGAUAAGACAUUGUACCAACUCUGGACAUAACUGGGAAUGGGCCAAUGAACUGUUGGGUUUCGUAGUAAUUUCAAAAAAUUUCCUACGCACACGCAAGAUCAUGUGAUGCAUAGCAACGAGAGGAGAGUGUUGUCUACGUACCCAACGCAGACCGACUGCGGAAGCGAUGACACGACGUAGAGGAAGUAGUCGUACGUCUUCACGAUCCAACCGAUCAAGCACCGAAACUACGGCACCUCCGAGUUCGAGCACACGUUCAGCUCGAUGACGAUCCCCGGACUCCGAUCUAGCAAAGUGUCGGGGAAGAGUUCCGUCAGCACGACGGCGUGGUGACGAUCUUGAUGAACUACAGCAGCAGGGCUUCGCCUAAACUCCGCUACAGUAUUAUCGAGGAAUGUGGUGGCAGGGGGCACCGCACACGGCUAAGGAAUCGAUCACGUGGAUCAACUUGUGUCAACUUUUUUGUUUAGAGGUGCCCCUGCCUCCGUAUAUAAUGGAGCCAAGGGGGGGAGGAGGCGCCGGCCAGGAGGAGGUGGCGCAGGAGGAGUCCUACUCCUACCGGGAGUAGGACUCCCCUCCAAUCCUAUUCCAACUAGGAUUCCCAAGGGGGAAAGAGGGAGAGGGGUGGCCGGCCACCUCUCCUAGUCCUAAUAGGACUAGGGGAAGGGGGGAGGCGCGCAGCCCCCUUGGGAUGCCCCUUUCUCCUUUCCACUAAGGCCCAUGAUGGCCCAUAUGGCUCCCGGGGGGUUUCCGGUAACCUCCCGGUAACCCGGUAAAAUCCCGAUUUCACCCGGAACACUUCCGAUGUCCAAACAUAGGCUUCCAAUAUAUCAAUCUUUAUGUCUCGACCAUUUCGAGACUCCUCGUCAUGUCCGUGAUCACAUCCGGGACUCCGAACAACCUUCGGUACAUCAAAAAUGCAUAAACUCAUAAUAUAACUGUCAUCGUAACCUUAAGCGUGCGGACCCUACGGGUUCGAGAACAAUGUAGACAUGACCGAGACACGUCUCUGGUCAAUAACCAAUAGCGGGACCUGGAUGCCCAUAUUGGCUCCUACAUAUUCUACGAAGAUCUUUAUCGGUCAGACCGCAUAACAACAUACGUUGUUCCCUUUGUCAUCGGUAUGUUACUUGCCCGAGAUUCGAUCGUCGGUAUCCAAUACCUAGUUCAAUCUCGUUACCGGCAAGUCUCUUUACUCGUUCCGUAAUACAUCAUCUCACAACUAACAUAUUAGUUGUAAUGCUUGCAAGGCUUAUGUGAUGUGUAUUACCGAGAGGGCCCAGAGAUACCUCUCCGACAAUCGGAGUGACAAAUCCUAAUCUCGAAAUACGCCAACCCAACAUCGACCAUUGGAGACACCUGUAGUACUCCUUUAUAAUCACCCAGUUACGCUGUGAUGUUUGGUAGUACCCAAAGUGUUCCUCCAGUAAACGGGAGUUGCAUAAUCUCAUAGUCAUAGGAACAUGUAUAAGUCAUGAAGAAAGCAAUAGCAACAUACUAAACGAUCGGGUGCUAAGCUAAUGGAAUGGGUCAUGUCAAUCAGAUCAUUCUACUAAUGAUGUGACCUCGUUAAUCAAAUAACAACUCAUUGUUUAUGGUUAGGAAACAUAACCAUCUUUGAUUAACGAGCUAGUCAAGUAGAGGCAUACUAGUGACACUCUGUUUGUCUAUGUAUUCACACAUGUAUUAUGUUUCCGGUAAAUACAAUUCUAGCAUGAAUAAUAAACAUUUAUCAUGAUUAUAAGGAAAUAAAUAAUAACUUUAUUAUUGCCUCUAGGGCAUAUUUCCUUCAGUCUCCCACUUGCACUAGAGUCAAUAAUCUAGAUUACACUGUAAUGAAUCUAACACCCAUGGAGCUUUGGUGCUGAUCAUGUUUUGCUCGUGUAAGAGGCUUAGUCAACGGGUCUGCAACAUUCAGAUCCGUAUGUAUCUUGCAAAUCUCUAUGUCUCCCACCUGGACUAGAUCCCGGAUGGAGUUGAAGCGUCUCUUGAUGUGUUUGGUCCUUUUGUGAAAUCUGGAUUCCUUUGCCAAGGCAAUUGCACCAGUAUUGUCACAAAAGAUUUUCAUUGGACCCGAUGCACUAGGUAUGACACCUAGAUCGGAUAUGAACUCCUUCAUCCAGACUCCUUCAUUUGCUGCUUCCGAAGCAGCUAUGUAUUCCGCUUCACAUGUAGAUCCCGCUACAACGCUUUGUUUAGAACUGCACCAACUGACAGCUCCACCGUUUAAUGUAAACACGUAUCCGGUUUGCGAUUUAGAAUCGUCCGGAUCAGUGUCAAAGCUUGCAUCAACGUAACCUUUUACGGUGAGCUCUUUGUCACCUCCAUAUACGAGAAACAUAUCCUUAGUCCUUUUCAGGUAUUUUAGGAUGUUCUUGUUAGGUUUCGUAGUAAUUUCAAAAAUUUUCCUACGCGCACACAGGAUCAUGUGAUGCAUAGCAACGAGAGGAGAGUGUUGUCUACGUACCCAACGCAGACCGACUGCGGAAGCGAUGACACGACGUAGAGGAAGUAGUCGUACGUCUUCACGAUCCAACCGAUCAAGCACCGAAACUACGGCACCUCCGAGUUCGAGCACACGUUCAGCUCGAUGACGAUCCCCGGACUCCGAUCCAGCAAAGUGUCGGGGAAGAGUUUCGUCAGCACGACGGCGUGGUGACGAUCUUGAUGAACUACAGCAGCAGGGCUUCGCCUAAACUCCGCUACAGUAUUAUCGAGGAAUAUGGUGGCAGGGGGCACCGCACACGGCUAAGGAAUCGAUCACGUGGAUCAACUUGUGUCAACUUGUGUGUUUAGAGGUGCCCCUGCCUCCGUAUAUAAAGGAGGAGAGGAGGGGAGGCUGGCCGGCCAAGGGGGGGAGGCGCAGGAGAGUCCUACUCCCUCUGGGAGUAGGAUUCCCCCUCCAAUCCUAGUCCAACUAGGAUUCCUCGGAGGGGAAAAGAGGAGGAGGGGGCCGGCCACCUCUCCUAGUCCUAAUAGGACUAGGGGGUGGCGCGCAGCCCAUCUAGGGCAGCCCCUUCUCUUUUCCACUAAGGCCCACUAUGGCCCAAAUAGCUCCCGGGGGGUUCCGGUAACCCUCUCGGUAUUCCGGUAAAAUCCCGAUUUCACCCGGAACACUUUCGAUAUCCAAAUAUAGGCUUCCAAUAUAUCAAUCUUUACGUCUCGACCAUUUCGAGACUCCUCGUCAUGUCCGUGAUCACAUCCGGGACUCCGAACAACCUUCGGUACAUCAAAAUGCAUAAACUCAUAAUAUAACUGUCAUCGUAACCUUAAGCGUGCGGACCCUACGGGUUCGAGAACAAUGUAGACAUGACCGAGACACGUCUCCGGUCAAUAACCAAUAGCGGGACCUGGAUGCCCAUAUUGGCUCCUACAUAUUCUACGAAGAUCUUUAUCGGUCAGACCGCAUAACAACAUACGUUGUUCCCUUUGUCAUCGGUAUGUUACUUGCCCGAGAUUCGAUCGUCGGUAUCCAAUACCUAGUGCAAUCUCGUUACCGGCAAGUCUCUUUACUCGUUCCGUAAUACAUCAUCUCACAACUAACAUAUUAGUUGUAAUGCUUGCAAGGCUUAUGUGAUGUGUAUUACCGAGAGGGCCCAGAGAUACCUCUCCGACAAUCGGAGUGACAAAUCCUAAUCUCGAAAUACGCCAACCCAACAUCGACCAUUGGAGACACCUGUAGUACUCCUUUAUAAUCACCCAGUUACGUUGUGACGUUUGGUAGUACCCAAAGUGUUCCUCCGGUAAACGGGAGUUGCAUAAUCUCAUAGUCAUAGGAACAUGUAUAAGUCAUGAAGAAAGCAAUAGCAACAUACUAAAUGAUCGGGUGCUAAGCUAAUGGAAUGGGUCAUGUCAAUCAGAUCAUUCUACUAAUUAUGUGACCUCGUUAAUCAAAUAACAACUCAUUGUUCAUGGUUAGGAAACAUAACCAUCUUUGAUUAACGAGCUAGUCAAGUAGAGGCAUACUAGUGACACUCUGUUUGUCUAUGUAUUCACACAUGUAUUAUGUUUCCGGUAAAUACAAUUCUAGCAUGAAUAAUAAACAUUUAUCAUGAUUAUAAGGAAAUAAAUAAUAACUUUAUUAUUGCCUCUAGGGCAUAUUUCCUUCAGUCUCCCACUUGCACUAGAGUCAAUAAUCUAGAUUACACUGUAAUGAAUCUAACACCCAUGGAGCUUUGGUGCUGAUCAUGUUUUGCUCGUGGAAGAGGCUUAGUCAACGGGUCUGCAAUAUUCAGAUCCGUAUGUAUCUUGCAAAUCUCUAUGUCUCCCACCUGGACUAGAUCCCGGAUGGAGUUGAAGCGUCUCUUGAUGUGUUUGGUCCUUUUGUGAAAUCUAGAUUCCUUUGCCAAGGCAAUUGCACCAGUAUUGUCACAAAAGAUUUUCAUUGGACCCGAUGCACCAGGUAUGACACCUAGAUCGGAUAUGAACUCCUUCAUCCAGACUCCUUCAUUUGCUGCUUCCGAAGCAGCUAUGUAUUCCGCUUCACAUGUAGAUCCCGCUACGACGCUUUGUUUAGAACUGCACCAACUGACAGCUCCACCGUUUAAUGUAAACACGUAUCCGGUUUGCGAUUUAGAAUCGUCCGGAUCAGUGUCAAAGCUUGCAUCAACGUAACCUUUUACGAUGAGCUCUUUGUCACUUCCAUAUACGAGAAACAUAUCCUUAGUCCUUUUCAGGUAUUUCAGGAUGUUCUUGACCGCUGUCCAGUGAUCCAUUCCUGGAUUACUUUGGUACCUCCCUGCUAAACUUACAGCAAGGCACACAUCAGGUCUGGUACACAGCAUUGCAUACAUGAUAGAGCUUAUGGCUGAUGCAUAGGGAACAUCUUUCAUAUUCUCUCUAUCUUCUGCAGUGGUCGGGCAUUGAGUCUUACUCAAUUUCACACCUUGUAACACAGGCAAGAACCCUUUCUUUGCUUGAUCCAUUUUGAACUUCUUCAAAAUUUUGUCAAGGUAUGUGCUUUGUGAAAGUCCAAUUAAGCGUCUUGAUCUAUCUCUAUAGAUCUUAAUGCCUAAUAUGUAAGCAGCUUCACCGAGGUCUUUCAUUGAAAAACUUUUAUUCAAGUAUCCCUUUAUGCUAUCCAGAAAUUCUAUAUCAUUUCCAAUCAGUAAUAUGUCAUCCACAUAUAAUAUCAGAAAUGCUACAGAGCUCCCACUCACUUUCUUGUAAAUACAGGCUUCUCCGAAAGUCUGUAUAAAACCAAAUGCUUUGAUCACACUAUCAAAACGUUUAUUCCAACUCCGAGAGGCUUGCACCAGUCCAUAAAUGGAUCGCUGGAGCUUGCACUCUUUGUUAGCUCCCUUUGGAUCGACAAAACCUUCUGGUUGCAUCAUAUACAACUCUUCUUCCAGAAAUCCAUUCAGGAAUGCAGUUUUGACAUCCAUUUGCCAAAUUUCAUAAUCAUAAAAUGCGGCAAUUGCUAACAUGAUUCGGACGGACUUAAGCAUCGCUACGGGUGAGAAGGUCUCAUCGUAGUCAAUUCCUUGAACUUGCCGAAAACCUUUUGCGACAAGUCGAGCUUUGUAGACAGUAACAUUACCAUCAGCGUCAGUCUUCUUCUUAAAGAUCCAUUUAUUCUCAAUCGCUUGCCGAUCAUCGGGCAAGUCAACCAAAGUCCAUACUUUGUUCUCAUACAUGGAUCCCAUCUCAGAUUUCAUGGCUUCUAGCCACUUUGCGGAAUCUGGGCUCACCAUCGCUUCUUCAUAGUUCGUAGGUUCAUCAUGAUCUAGUAGCAUGACCUCCAGAACAGGAUUACCAUACCACUCUGGUGCGGAUCUUACUCUGGUUGAUCUACGAGGUUCAGUAGUAUCUUGAUCUGAAGUUUCAUGAUCAUUAUCAUUGGUUUCCUCACUAACUGGUGUAGGUGUCACUGAAACAGUUUUCUGUGAUGAACUACUUUCCAGUAAGGGAGCAGGUACAGUUACCUCGUCAAGUUCUACUUUCCUCCCACUCACUUCUUUCGAGAGAAACUCCUUCUCUAGAAAUGAUCCAUUCUUAGCAACGAAUGUUUUGCCUUCGGAUCUGUGAUAGAAGGUGUACCCAACAGUUUCCUUUGGGUAUCCUAUGAAGACACAUUUCUCCGAUUUGGGUUCGAGCUUAUCAGGUUGAAGCUUUUUCACAUAAGCAUCGCAGCCCCAAACUUUAAGAAACGACAACUUUGGUUUCUUGCCAAACCACAGUUCAUAAGGCGUUGUCUCAACGGAUUUUGAUGGUGCCCUAUUUAACGUGAAUGCGGCCGUCUCUAAAGCAUAUCCCCAAAAUGAUAGCGGUAAAUCAGUAAGAGACAUCAUAGAUCGCACCAUAUCUAGUAAAGUACGAUUACGACGUUCGGACACACCAUUACGCUGAGGUGUUCCGGGUGGCGUGAGUUGCGAAACUAUUCCACAGUUUUUCAAAUGUACACCAAACUCGUAACUCAAAUAUUCUCCUCCACGAUCAGAUCGUAGAAACUUUAUUUUCUUGUUACGAUGAUUUUCAACUUCACUCUGAAAUUCUUUGAACUUUUCAAAUGUUUCAGACUUAUGUUUCAUUAAGUAAAUAUACCCAUAUCUGCUUAAAUCAUCUGUGAAGGUGAGAAAAUAACGAUAUCCGCCACGAGCCUCAAUAUUCAUCGGGCCACAUACAUCGGUAUGUAUGAUUUCCAACAAAUUUGUUGCUCUCUCCAUAGUACCGGAGAACGGUGUUUUAGUCAUCUUGCCCAUGAGGCACGGUUCGCAAGUACCAAGUGAUUCAUAAUCAAGUGGUUCCAAAAGUCCAUCGGUAUGGAGUUUCUUCAUGCGCUUUAUACCGAUAUGACCUAAACGACAGUGCCACAAAUAAGUUGCACUUUCAUUAUCAACUCUGCAUCUUUUGGCUUCAACAUUAUGAAUAUGUGUAUUACUACUAUCGAGAUUCAAUAAAAAUAGACCACUCUUCAAGGGCGCAUGACCAUAAAAGAUAUUACUCAUAUAAAUAGAACAACCAUUAUUCUCUGAUUUAAAUGAAUAACCGUCUCGCAUUAAACAAGAUCCAGAUAUAAUGUUCAUGCUCAACGCUGGCACCAAAUAACAAUUAUUUAGGUCUAAUAUUAAUCCCGAAGGUAGACGUAGAGGUAGCGUGCCGACUGCGAUCACAUCGACUUUGGAACCGUUUCCCACGCGCAUCGUCACCUCGUCCUUUGCUAGUGCCCGCUUAUUCUGUAGUCCCUGUUUCGAGUUGCAAAUAUUAGCAACAGAACCAGUAUCAAAUACCCAGGUGCUACUGCGAGCUCUAGUAAGGUACACAUCAAUAACAUGUAUAUCACAUAUACCUUUGUUCACCUUGCCAUCCUUCUUAUCCGCCAAAUACUUGGGGCAGUUCCGCUUCCAGUGACCAGUCUGCUUGCAGUAGAAGCACUCAGUUUCAGGCUUAGGUCCAGACUUGGGUUUCUUCUCUUGAGCAGCAACUUGCUUGCCGUUCUUUUUGAAGUUCCCCUUUUUCUUCCCUUUGCCAUUUUUCUUGAAACUAGUGGUCUUGUUAACCAUCAACACUUGAUGCUCCUUCUUGAUUUCUACCUCCGCAGCUUUUAGCAUUGCGAAGAGCUCGGGAAUAGUCUUGUUCAUCCCUUGCAUAUUAUAGUUCAUCACGAAGCUCUUGUAGCUUGGUGGCAGUGAUUGGAGAAUUCUGUCAAUGACGCAAUCAUCUGGAAGAUUAACUCCCAAUUGAAUCAAGUGAUUAUUAUACCCAGACAUUUUGAGUAUAUGCUCACUGACAGAACUGUUCUCCUCCAUCUUGCAGCUAUAGAACUUAUUGGAGACUUCAUAUCUCUCAAUCCGGGCAUUUGCUUGAAAUAUUAACUUCAACUCCUGGAACAUCUCAUAUGCUCCAUGACGUUCAAAACGUCGUUGAAGUCCCGAUUCUAAGCCGUAAAGCAUGGCACACUGAACUAUCGAGUAGUCAUCAGCUUUGCUCUGCCAGACGUUCAUAACAUCUGGCGUUGCUCCAGCAGCAGGCCUGGCACCCAGCGGUGCUUCCAGGACGUAAUUCUUCUGUGCAGCAAUGAGGAUAAUCCUCAAGUUACGGACCCAGUCCGUGUAAUUGCUACCAUCAUCUUUCAACUUUGCUUUCUCAAGGAACGCAUUAAAAUUCAACGGAACAACAGCACGAGCCAUCUAUCUACAAUCAACAUAAACAAGCAAGAUACUAUCAGGUACUAAGUUCAUGAUAAAUUUAAGUUCAAUAAUCAUAUUACUAAAGAACUCCCACUUAGAUAGACAUCCCUCUAAUCCUCUAAGUGAUCACGUGAUCCAAAUCAACUAAACCAUAACCGAUCAUCACGUGAGAUGGAGUAGUUUUCAAUGGUGAACAUCGUUAUGUUGAUCAUAUCUACUAUAUGAUUCACGCUCGACCUUUCGGUCUCCGUGUUCCGAGGCCAUAUCUGCAUAUGCUAGGCUCGUCAAGUUUAACCUGAGUAUUCUGCGUGUGCAAAACUGGCUUGCACCCGUUGUAGAUGGACGUAGAGCUUAUCACACCCGAUCAUCACGUGGUGUCUGGGCACGACGAACUUUGGCAACGGUGCAUACUCAGGGAGAACACUUCUUGAUAAUUUAGUGAGAGAUCAUCUUAUAAUGCUACCGUCAAUCAAAGCAAGAUAAGAUGCAUAAAAAGAUAAACAUCACAUGCAAUCAAUAUAAGUGAUAUGAUAUGGCCAUCAUCAUCUUGUGCUUGUGAUCUCCAUCUCCGAAGCACCGUCAUGAUCACCAUCGUCACCGGCGCGACACCUUGAUCUUCAUCGUAGGAUCGUUGUCGUCUCGCCAAUCUUAUGCUUCCACGACUAUCACUACCGUUUAGUAAUAAAGUAAAGCAUUACAUCGCGAUUGCAUUGCAUACAAUAAAGCGACAACCAUAUGGCUCCUGCCAGUUGCCGAUAACUCGGUUACAAAACAUGAUCAUCUCAUACAAUAAAAUUCAGCAUCAUGCUUUGACCAUAUCACAUCACAACAUGCCCUGCAAAAACAAGUUAGACGUCCUCUACUUUGUUGUUGCAUGUUUUACGUGGCUGCUACGGGCUUAAGUAAGAACCAAUCUCACCUACGCAUCAAAACCACAACGAUAUUUUGUCAAAUAGACUCCAUUUUAACCUUCGCAAGGACCGGGCGUAGCCAUACUUGGUUCAACUAAAGUUGGAGAGACAGUCGCCCGCAAGCCAUCUCUGUGCAAAGCACGUCGAGGGAACCGGUCUCGCGUAAGCGUACGCGUAAGGUUGGUCUGGGUCGUCUCGUCCAACAAUACCGCCGAACCAAAAUAUGACAUGCUGGUAGGCAGUAUGACUUGUAUCGUCCACAACUCACUUGUGUUCUACUCGUGCAUAUAACAUCAACAUAAGUAACCUAGGCUCGGAUGCCACUGUUGGGUUUCGUAGUAAUUUCAAAAAAUUUCCUACGCACACGCAAGAUCAUGUGAUGCAUAGCAACGAGAGGAGAGUGUUGUCUACGUACCCAACGCAGACCGACUGCGGAAGCGAUGACACGACGUAGAGGAAGUAGUCGUACGUCUUCACGAUCCAACCGAUCAAGCACCGAAACUACGGCACCUCCGAGUUCGAGCACACGUUCAGCUCGAUGACGAUCCCCGGACUCCGAUCCAGCAAAGUGUCGGGGAAGAGUUCCGUCAGCACGACGGCGUGGUGACGAUCUUGAUGAACUACAGCAGCAGGGCUUCGCCUAAACUCCGCUACAGUAUUAUCGAGGAAUAUGGUGGCAGGGGGCACCGCACACGGCUAAGGAAUCGAUCACGUGGAUCAACUUGUGUCAACUUUUUUGUUUAGAGGUGCCCCUGCCUCCGUAUAUAAAGGAGCCAAGGGGGGGAGGAGGCGCCGGCCAGGAGGAGGUGGCGCAGGAGGAGUCCUACUCCUACCGGGAGUAGGACUCCCCUCCAAUCCUAUUCCAACUAGGAUUCCCAAGGGGGAAAGAGGGAGAGGGGUGGCCGGCCACCUCUCCUAGUCCUAAUAGGACUAGGGGAAGGGGGGGGCGCGCAGCCCCCUUGCGCUGCCCCUUUCUCCUUUCCACUAAGGCCCAUGAUGGCCCAUAUGGCUCCCGGGGGGUUCCGGUAACCUCCCGGUAACCCGGUAAAAUCCCGAUUUCACCCGGAACACUUCCGAUGUCCAAACAUAGGCUUCCAAUAUAUCAAUCUUUAUGUCUCGACCAUUUCGAGACUCCUCGUCAUGUCCGUGAUCACAUCCGGGACUCCGAACAACCUUCGGUACAUCAAAAAUGCAUAAACUCAUAAUAUAACUGUCAUCGUAACCUUAAGCGUGUGGAUCCUACGGGUUCGAGAACAAUGUAGACAUGACCGAGACACGUCUCUGGUCAAUAACCAAUAGCGGGACCUGGAUGCCCAUAUUGGCUCCUACAUAUUCUACGAAGAUCUUUAUCGGUCAGACCGCAUAACAACAUACGUUGUUCCCUUUGUCAUCGGUAUGUUACUUGCCCGAGAUUCGAUCGUCGGUAUCCAAUACCUAGUUCAAUCUCGUUACCGGCAAGUCUCUUUACUCGUUCCGUAAUACAUCAUCUCACAACUAACAUAUUAGUUGUAAUGCUUGCAAGGCUUAUGUGAUGUGUAUUACCGAGAGGGCCCAGAGAUACCUCUCCGACAAUCGGAGUGACAAAUCCUAAUCUCGAAAUACGCCAACCCAACAUCGACCAUUGGAGACACCUGUAGUACUCCUUUAUAAUCACCCAGUUACGUUGUGACGUUUGGUAGUACCCAAAGUGUUCCUCAGGUAAACGGGAGUUGCAUAAUCUCAUAGUCAUAGGAACAUGUAUAAGUCAUGAAGAAAGCAAUAGCAACAUACUAAACGAUCGGGUGCUAAGCUAAUGGAAUGGGUCAUGUCAAUCAGAUCAUUCUGCUAAUGAUGUGACCUCGUUAAUCGAAUAACAACUCAUUGUUCAUGGUUAGGAAACAUAACCAUCUUUGAUUAACGAGCUAGUCAAGUAGAGGCAUACUAGUGACACUUUGUUUGUCUAUGUAUUCACACAUGUAUUAUGUUUUCGGUAAAUACAAUUCUAGCAUGAAUAAUAAACAUUUAUCAUGAUUAUAAGGAAAUAAAUAAUAACUUUAUUAUUGCCUCUAGGGCAUAUUUCCUUCAGUCUCCCACUUGCACUAGAGUCAAUAAUCUAGAUUACACUGUAAUGAUUCUAACACCCAUGGAGCCUUGGUGCUGAUCAUGUUUUGCUCGUGGAAGAGGCUUAGUCAAUGGGUCUGCAACAUUCAGAUCCAUAUGUAUCUUGCAAAUCUCUAUGUCUCCCACCUGGACUAGAUCCCGGAUGGAGUUGAAGCGUCUCUUGAUGUGUUUGGUCCUUUUGUGAAAUCUGGAUUCCUUUGCCAAGGCAAUUGCACCAGUAUUGUCACAAAAGAUUUUCAUUGGACCCGAUGCACUAGGUAUGACACCUAGAUCGGAUAUGAACUCCUUCAUCCAGACUCCUUCAUUUGCUGCUUCCGAAGCAGCUAUGUAUUCCGCUUCACAUGUAGAUCCCGCUACAACGCUUUGUUUAGAACUGCACCAACUGACAGCUCCACCGUUUAAUGUAAACACGUAUCCGGUUUGCGAUUUAGAAUCGUCCGGAUCAGUGUCAAAGCUUGCAUCAACGUAACCUUUUACGGUGAGCUCUUUGUCACCUCCAUAUACGAGAAACAUAUCCUUAGUCCUUUUCAGGUAUUUUAGGAUGUUCUUGUUAGGUUUCGUAGUAAUUUCAAAAAUUUUCCUACGCGCACACAGGAUCAUGUGAUGCAUAGCAACGAGAGGAGAGUGUUGUCUACGUACCCAACGCAGACCGACUGCGGAAGCGAUGACACGACGUAGAGGAAGUAGUCGUACGUCUUCACGAUCCAACCGAUCAAGCACCGAAACUACGGCACCUCCGAGUUCGAGCACACGUUCAGCUCGAUGACGAUCCCCGGACUCCGAUCCAGCAAAGUGUCGGGGAAGAGUUUCGUCAGCACGACGGCGUGGUGACGAUCUUGAUGAACUACAGCAGCAGGGCUUCGCCUAAACUCCGCUACAGUAUUAUCGAGGAAUAUGGUGGCAGGGGGCACCGCACACGGCUAAGGAAUCGAUCACGUGGAUCAACUUGUGUCAACUUGUGUGUUUAGAGGUGCCCCUGCCUCCGUAUAUAAAGGAGGAGAGGAGGGGAGGCUGGCCGGCCAAAGGGGGGAGGCGCAGGAGAGUCCUACUCCCUCUGGGAGUAGGAUUCCCCCUCCAAUCCUAGUCCAACUAGGAUUCCUCGGAGGGGAAAAGAGGAGGAGGGGGCCGGCCACCUCUCCUAGUCCUAAUAGGACUAGGGGAAGGGGGGGCGCAGCCCAUCUAGGGCAGCCCCUUCUCUUUUCCACUAAGGCCCACUAUGGCCCAAAUAGCUCCCGGGGGGUUCCGGUAACCCUCCCGGUAUUCCGGUAAAAUCCCGAUUUCACCCGGAACACUUCCGAUAUCCAAAUAUAGGCUUCCAAUAUAUCAAUCUUUACGUCUCGACCAUUUCGAGACUCCUCGUCAUGUCCGUGAUCACAUCCGGGACUCCGAACAACCUUCGGUACAUCAAAAUGUAUAAACUCAUAAUAUAACUGUCAUCGUAACCUUAAGCGUGCGGACCCUACGGGUUCGAGAACAAUGUAGACAUGACCGAGACACGUCUCUGGUCAAUAACCAAUAGCGGGACCUGGAUGUCCAUAUUGGCUCCUACAUAUUCUACGAAGAUCUUUAUCGGUCAGACCGCAUAACAACAUACGUUGUUCCCUUUGUCAUCGGUAUGUUACUUGCCCGAGAUUCGAUCGUCGGUAUCCAAUACCUAGUUCAAUCUCGUUACCGGCAAGUCUCUUUACUCGUUCCGUAAUACAUCAUCUCACAACUAACAUAUUAGUUGUAAUGCUUGCAAGGCUUAUGUGAUGUGUAUUACCUAGAGGGCCCAGAGAUACCUCUCCGACAAUCGGAGUGACAAAUCCUAAUCUCGAAAUACGCCAACCCAACAUCGACCAUUGGAGACACCUGUAGUACUCCUUUAUAAUCACCCAGUUACGUUGUGACGUUUGGUAGUACCCAAAGUGUUCCUCCGGUAAACGGGAGUUGCAUAAUCUCAUAGUCAUAGGAACAUGUAUAAGUCAUGAAGAAAGCAAUAGCAACAUACUAAACGAUCGGGUGCUAAGCUAAUGGAAUGGGUCAUGUCAAUCAGAUCAUUCUACUAAUGAUGUGACCUCGUUAAUCAAAUAACAACUCAUUGUUUAUGGUUAGGAAACAUAACCAUCUUUGAUUAACGAGCUAGUCAAGUAGAGGCAUACUAGUGACACUCUGUUUGUCUAUGUAUUCACACAUGUAUUAUGUUUCCGGUAAAUACAAUUCUAGCAUGAAUAAUAAACAUUUAUCAUGAUUAUAAGGAAAUAAAUAAUAACUUUAUUAUUGCCUCUAGGGCAUAUUUCCUUCAUGAACAUGUGUGCUAGCUUUCCUCGAGUCUGAAAUCUAUUCACUCCUUUCAUAGGAGUGACUCGGAGGUAAGCAUAUUCUCCGGGCUCAAAACCUUGUCGGUGCUUGGAGUCAUAAUAGAUCUUCUAUCGAGACUUGGCCACUUGAAGUCUGUCUCGAAUUUCUCUGACUUGCUUCUCAGCCUCCAUCAUAAGAUCAGUUUCGAAGAUGCGGCUAUCUCCGGUUUGAGACCAGUUUAGCUUGAUAUGGUGUUGCAGGACUGUGUCUUCUGCCUGGGUCUUGUGGAUUUCUUCUUCGAGAGUAGGAGUGACUUCCAGCAUUUUGGCGCAGUCAGUCCCAACAAUAGUCAGGUUGAGCUGAGCGAUCACUUCUUGCAGCUCGGGCGGCAAGGACUCCAUUAAGGCGUUCAAGUUGGCGGGUUUGUCGCUGAGAGCGUCGGCAACCACGUUAGCUUUGCUGGGAUGGUAGUUGAUUUUGAGGUCAUAGUCCUUGACCAAUUCCAGCCAUCUUCAUUUUCGGUGAUUUAAAUAUGGUUGAGUGAAUAUGUACUUGAGACUCUUAUGGUCGGUGAAUAUUUGGCAUCUCUUGCCAAUGAGAUAAUGCCUCCAAAUCUUCAAAGCAUGCACAACUACAGCCAAUUCCAAGUCGUGCGUUGGGUAAUUGCCUUCGUGGGGUCAUAGCUGUCGAGAUGCAUAAGGUACAACCUUGCCGUCUUGCAUGAGUACACAUCCAAUACCUUUCCUGGAUGCGUCGUAGUAUACGUCAAAGAUUUGGUAGAUGUUGGGAAGUGUCAACACAGGUGCUGAGGUCAGUCGAGUAUUCAACUCAUUGAAACUCUUCUCGCAGUCUUCGGACCAUAUAAAUUUCCGGUCCUUCUUGAGUAGAUCUGUCAUAGGCUUGGCAACCUUAAAGAAUCCUUCAAUGAAUCGACGGUAGUAUCCCGUGAGUCCAAGAAGACUCCUAAUUUUUGUCACUGUCGUGGGUGCUGGCCACUUAAGCACAUCUUUGACCUUGCUUGGAUCCACAGAUAUGCCUUAUGCUGAGAGAACAUGCCCCAAGAAUCCAACUUGCUUGAGCCAAAACUCACAUUUGCUGAACUUGGCAUAUGAUACGUCUCCAACGUAUCUAUAAUUUUUGAUUGUUCCAUGCUGUUAUAUUAUCAAUCUUGGAUGUUUUAUAAUCAUUUUUAGUCAUUUUAUAUCAUUUGUUGGUACUAAACUAUUGACAUCGUGCCAAGUGUCAAUUGUUGUUUUCUACAUGUUUUUUACAUCACAGGAAAUCAAUAUCAGACGGAGUCCAAAUGCAACAAAAUUUUAUGGAGAUUUUUUUUGGACCAGAAGGAACAUAAUGGGCCCUGGCUGCGCCUGGGGGUGCUCUGAGGAGAGCACAACCCACCAGGGCGCGCAUGGGCCCCCCAGACCGCCUCUUUGCUCUAUAAAUACCCCAAUAUUCCCAAAACCCUAGGGGAGUCGACGAAAUAUUCAUCCAGCCACCGCAGAGUCCAGAACCACCAGAUCCAAUCUAGACACCAUCUCAGAUGGGGUUCACCACCUCCAUUGUUGCCUCUCCAAUGAUGCGUGAGUAGUUCUUUGUAGACCUUCGGGUCCGUAGUUAGUAGCUAGAUGGGUUCCUCUCUCUCGCUGAAUUCUUAAUACAAUGGUCUCUUGGAGAUCCAUAUGAUGUAACUCUUUUGCGGUGUGUUUGUUGGGAUCAAUGAACUUUGGGUUUAUGAUCAGAUCUAUCUUUUUAUAUCCAUGAAAGUUAUUUGAGUUUCUUUGAUCUCUUAUAUGCAUGAUUGCUUAUAGCCUCGUAUUUCUUCUCCGAUAUUUGGAUUUUGUUUGGCCAACUUGAUCUAUUUAUCUUGCAAUGGGAAUACGUGCUUUGUAGUGGGUUCGAUCUUACAGUGCUUGAUCCUAGUGACAAAAGGGGAAUUGACACGUAUGUAUCAUUGCUACUAAGGAUAAAACUAUGGGGUCUAUCUCUACAUAGAUAGAUCUUUUCUACAUCAUGUCAUCGUUCUUAUUGCAUUACUCUGUUUCUCCAAAAAUUAUAGAUACGUUGGAGACGUAUCAGCAUCCCCAAGUUUAAUUCCUACUUGUCCUCGAGUAGGUAAAUGAUAAAAACAGAAUUUUUGAUGUGGAAUGUUGCCUAACAUGUUCAUCACAUAUUCUUUUCUUUUUAGCAUGGACAUUUGGACUUUUAUAUGAUUCAAAGCAAUAGUCUAGUUUUGACAUGAAGAUUUCAAUACUCAAGCAUAUCAACAAGCAACCAUGUCUUUCAAAAUAUUAACGCUAAAGCAAGUUAUCCCUAGCCGAUUAUUCUCAAUCAUUGAUCCAUUCAUGAAACACACUCGCAUAUUAGCUACGCCCAAUGCUCAAGUACUAUCAUAGUGCCCCUUAGUUGGUGCUUUAUAAGAGAAGAUGGAGACUCAAGUAAAAAUAAAAAUUGCAUAAAGUAAAUAAAAAGGCCCUCCGUGGAGGGAAGUAGGGAUUUGUAGAGGUGUCAGAGCUCAAAGCGAAAAAGAUAGAGAUAAAACAUUUUGGGUGGCAUGCUUUUCCUGUCAGCGAAAAUGAUCGAGUAGUUCUCAAUACUUCUCAUGCUAGAUAUAUCAUGGGCGGUUCCCAAACAGAAAAUAAAGUUUAUUCCUUUUUCCACCAUACUUUCACUUUCCAUGGCUAACUGUAUCCACGGGUGCCUUCCAUGCCAACACUUUUCCAAGGAAUUUAUUAUUUGACAACAUAAAGUAAAUUCAUUUUUCAUUUUGGGACUGGGCAUCCCUAAUACCUUUGUCGCACUCUCGUGCAAUGGCAAGUGAAUAAACACUCAUCUUGAGAAUAACACAUCUAGCACGGAAAUAUAUCAGUCACCCCCUACCGUUUCAUGAGCAGUACAAGCACACAAAAGAGAAAUUUAUUUUGAAAAUUAGAAAUGGCACAUACAAAUUUGCUUAGAACUGCAAAAGAAUGCCGCAUAUAGGUAGGUAUAGUGGACUCAUGUGGCAAAAACUGGUUUAAAGGAUUUUGGAUGCACAAGUAGUGAUCAUACUUAGUGCAAAUGAAGGCUAGCAAAAGAUUGAGAAUCAUCCAACCAAGAAACGAAAAAUCUCAUAAGCAAGCAUUAAGCAUAAAUAACACCAAAUAAUGCACCACAAGUAGGAUGUAAUUUCAUUGCAUAACUAUUGACUUUCGUGCUUGCAUAGGGAAUCACAAACCUUAACACCAAUACUCUUACUAAAGCAUAAUUACUCGUCAACAUGGCUCACAUAUUAUAUCACCAUAUCGCAAAACUAUUACAAGGCAUCAAGUUUAUUUUGUCCAAUGAUCUUCAUGAAAUUUUUUAUUAUAUCCCUCUUGAAUAUCUAUCACUUUGGGGCUAGUUUCAUAUGUUGCUUUUAAUAAGCUCAAACAAAUAUAAGUGAAGAACAUGAGCAUAAAAAAAUUUCUUCUCUCAAAAUAAUCUAAGUGAAGCAUGAGAGAAUUUCUGAAAAAAUUUACUAACUCUCAAAUAAAUCUAAGUGAAGCAUGAGAAAAUUUCUUCAAAAAAAAUACUAAAGCACACCGUGCUCAAAAAGAUAUAAGUGAAGCAUAGAGAGCAAUUCUAACAAGUCAUAGCAUAAUUUUGGCUUUCUCAAAUAGGUGUGUCCAGCAAGGAUUCAUGACUAAAAAUAAAAGGCAAAACAAGCAAAGACUCAUAUCAUACAAGACGCUCCAAGCAAUACUCAUGAUAUGUGACGAAUAAAAAUAUAGCUCCAAGUAAAAUACUGAUGGUUGUUAGAAGAAAAAGGGGAUGUCACUCGGGCAUCCCCAAGCUUAGUUGCUUGAUUCUCUUUGGAUAAUAGUUGGGAUGCCAUGGGCAUCCCCAAGCUUAGGCUCUUCUUACUCCUUAUUCCUUCAUCCAUCGUAAUAUCAUCCAAAACUUGAAAACUUCAAUCACACAAAACUCAACAAAACCUUUGUGAGAUCCGUUAGUAUAAGAAAGCAAAUCACUACUAUAAGUAUUGUUGCCAACCCAUUCAUAUUUUAUUUGUGCAUUAUAUCUACUUUAUUCCAACUUUUUUAUAGCAAAAACUCUUUAAAGGAAACCAUAGAAUCAUCAAAACAAGCAAACAACACAAAGAAAACAGAAUCUGUCAAAAACAAAACAGUCUGUAGCAAUCUGGAUAUUUUGAAUACUUAUGUAACUCCAAAUAUUUUGAAAAAUUAGGACGACGUGAGUAAUUUGUAUACUAAUCUUAUAAAGAAAGAGUCAGUAUUUUAUCGCACUUCUUUUAAAAAUGAGAAUUAUUUUUCUGGGCACAAAAGUUUCUGUUUUUAGUAAGAUCAAAACAACUAUCACCCAACAUGAUCCAAAAGUCUUUGCUUGGCACAAACACUAAUUAAAACACAAAAAACACAAUCAUAACAGUAUAAUAAUUGUGCAAACACUUAAGAACAGAAAUUUAAAAAAAGACAAAAAUAAAUUUUAUUCAUUGGGUUGCCUCCCAACAAGCAUUAUCGUUUUAUGCCCCUAGCUGAGCAUAUUGAGCAUGCUCUUUUGUAGGGUUUCAUGCGCUUUAAUCAUGGCUGGAACAAAGAAGUUAUUAUUCAGUUUUAUGCCACGCUAUACAUCUCAGGAGAAAUUGGAAAUACCUCUACCUGGACUCUGGAAUGGAUGACUCGCAGAGAGAGAAUCAAAUGUUUGGCAGAUCAUUUUCUGGCCCUGAUAAAUAUUCCUCAAUGUGAGUUUGAGAAGGACAGAGAUCACAGACUGCCUUCAUGGCCGGCUUUAAUGUUUAAUUAAUGUUGUUUCUUUUUUUUAAUAUGCAUGCAUUUAUUUUUUGUUUUUGCGCCGCCAAAAUGGGUCCAGCCCAACGUUGGACGCACGCGCCGACCCAAAUACGAAAGCGGACAUCUGUAUCCGUCUGGCCGGCUCAAACGGAAAAAAAAAAGCAAACGAAAUCGCCGUCCGUUUGGGUCGGCCAGUUGGAGUUGCUCAUUGGCUCGUUCCGCUGUCCCCAAAACUUUGGCACGGCCGUAGCGCACAUGAUCGAUGGCUCUGGCUGUUUGUUCAUAGCCUCAUAGGCAUUCCCUGUCUUUCCGACGCGACAGACAGAGGGAGAAGGUCAAUUCGAGGAAGCGCGGAAACGGAAACAUGGCAGUUCGGGCGGCAGAACCCAAAAACCGAAAGCAAAAGCGCGCGCCCGCGGCCCACCCAAAACGGCCAUGGCAGCCGACGGUUACUCCGAAUCUUCUGCCGCAGACCCCUCUCCCAGGCUCCCGCUCCAAUGCAAGACAUGCAUACCCCACGUAUCCACGGCCGACACUGCCCGCAUCGCCAUUAGCGGGCCGAUUAGCUAACAAGAUCCCAUUCAUUUUCCUGCAUCACCAAGCCCGUAAAUCUCUCCAAGCCUGCAUCGCCAUUAACGGGCCAAUUAGCUUACUGUUGUAAGAGUACCGUACUCCGUUAAGAAGAUCACAUUCAUCUCUCCGAGACUGCCUUUCUUUCUAAAAAAGAUCUACCUAAAAACCAAGCGUACGAAGGAAGAUUCACGCGGUAGCAGCUGAUGCUGAAUCACCAAAGUAGGUCCAUCCAAAAUCGCAUUGAAUAUUCCAAAUUUCAGCAGUAGUAACCGACGCCCCGGUCAUGUACACAGAAGAAUACAGCCUUUGCUUUUUUGUACUUACAGCUAUGAUGCCAGCCACGUUACUAUGAAAAUUUUUGGACGGAAGCAAAUUAAGGACGAGGAUUGGCAUUUCCAUACUAAAAUACAAACAAGCAACCAAUUUUCAGAUCUCAAAUUCCAUCACAUUCCACAUCUCAACCCGAUUUCAGAUCUGGAAAUCCAAAGAGGCAGAAAAAGAAUUUGCAUUGCAGGGCAAGAGCGAUUGACCAUAACCAUAAUUAAUUAGAUAAACAAUGCACUAUUUGUUUUCGACACCAUCACAAGGAUCUUGCUACGCUAAAAAACCUCGACAAAUCAAGCUGCUACGGUAAAACGGAGGCUCGGGGACGAACCCUCGCCGCCGCCGUCGUCGUUUCACCCACAGAUACACCUCCAAGGGUACGCCGGAUUGAACCAGAGCACCCCGACCCGGAUGUAAAAAUUUACAGUCUAGAACACACAAUCCUGGACUACCACCGACACAGAACAGGGGAAAACUGCUAAUGGAAACUGGUUUGCCGGAGGACGGAGGCUCUACUUCUUGGCCUUCUUGGCGGGGGUCUUCUUGGCGGGCGCGGCCUUCUUCACCGGCGCCGACCGCUUGGUGGGCGGCUUCCUGGGGGCGGCCUUCUUGGGGGUGGCGGCGGCGGCGGGCGCCUUCUUCCCUGGCGCGUCCUUGGCGGAGGUCUUGGCGGCCUUGGCGGGGCGGCCCCGAGGCUUGGCGGGCGCCUUCGUCUUGGCGGCCGGCUUGGGCUUCGCGGCGGCCUUGGUGGUCUUGGCUGGAGCCUUGGUCUUGGCGGCGGCCUUGGGCUUCGUUGCCGCCUUGGGCUUGGCGGCGGCCUUGGUGGUCUUGGCGGGGGCCUUGGCCUUGGGCUUGGCGGCGGGCUUCUUCUUGGCUGGGGACUUGGCGGCGGGCUUCUUGGCCGGCGCCUUCUUCGCCGCGGGCUUCUUCUUGGCUGGCGCCUUGGUCUUGGGCUUCUUGGGCGCUGCGGGGGCCUUGGUGAGCUUGUAGGAGGCCUUGACCUUGGUCAGCUUGCCGGCGGCGACGAGCUUCUUGAUCUGCGUCAGCAUGAACUUGCGGAAGUUGGCCGGGAGGUGCGCCUUGUGCUUGUCCUCGAUGUACUUGGCGAUGGCGACGGUGCUCGACCCGCCUCUCUCCUUCAGCGCGGCGAUCGCCUCCGCCACCAUCUGCGCAAAAACAAGCACGCACGAACAAAGCCAGUCAGAUCAAGGCGAACACGAACGAACAGAGAGCACGACGAGCGAACAGAGAACGACAAUGGAGCGAGCGAGAUUCGGCGACGGUCGGGGGGUUUACCUCAGCGUAGGUCGGGUGGGCGGGGGCGGCCUUGGGCUUCCUCGGGGCGGAGGGCUUCUUCACCUUGGGCGCCUUGGGGGUCUUUGCGGCCUUGGCCUUGGUCGCCUUGGUCGUCUUGGCGUCGCCGGCGGGGGCGUCAGUCGUGGUCUCCACGACGGGGUCGGCGGUCGCCUCCACCUGAGGCACCGGGAUGUCGGCGGCAGCGGCGUCGGUCGACAUUGCGGCGGGAAAGCGAGGGGAGAGGGGAGCGCUGGUGUGUUUUCGCCGGAGGUGAGAGAGAUGCGUGUGAGCUGGGUGAGGAGGUCAGGGCGGAGGAGACGGUGGUUAUAUAGUGGGAGACGUCGGGGAGACGGGGAAGGCCGAAUGCCGCGCGCUGAUUGGUCGAGGGGGCGUUGCCACGGAUCGCCCCCCUAAGCAGCCGUCAUCAAACCUGGCGCGUCCGAUCCGUUCCCAUCCGACGGCCAGCAACGCGCCCCAUCCGAUGCCGCGGAUUCAAGCCCCCCCUAGUUGGCCGGCCGUCUCGCGAACCAGCCUCCAGACUUCCAGAGUGUGCUUCUCCUCUCGAUUUCCGAUCAAAUAUCGCUCGAUCGGAUGCACCAAUUCGAAUGCAAUUUUUUUCACUGUGUAGGCAAGGAUCAUGGCUUUGUAAUGAGAUUGAGUUUGUGUGAUUUGGUUGAGUAUUCUGGGAGAAAUGAGCCGGUGAUCAGGGACUGGUCGGGAUGGUGCCUUGGUGGGAGUUUGGUGGAGAUUUCCGGCCGCCGGCACGGGGUGCACCGGCGAACAAUGAGAUUUUCCGGCAUGGUCGUGUAGCUGGUUAACGUAGCAUUCCGUAGGUUCAAGAAUCACGUCGAUCCGACGUCGUUUUGAUAGGCUACGAGUCGAUGGAACACGACCCAAGUUGCACAACUUGUGGAGACCUUUGCUGGUGGUGUGUGAGUUCGGCCGGGCUUUGCACUGUUUGCCGGCGCGAUGGCCGGCCGGCUCGCCGGAGAACCGCCGUGCUCCGGUGGUUGUGGACAUGGGGAAGGCUACCCAGCUGCUGCAUUUGGGUUGUCACACUUGAACUCGGAUGAAUUUGCACCGGAGUGAUCAACACUUGUUCCUGUGGUUGGGGAAAGUCUACCAGGUGAUACAAGUUGCCUUGUUCUACCUCUCAGAUCAAAUUUCAUCGUAAUUUCAGAUGGUUUCCCGAUGCACAACUCAAAUAUCAGCUAGUCUUUGAUGGAACGACGAUCAGGAUUGGAAUUUUUGAAAGUUUUUCGUACUGUUCGGACCAAGAAACGUGUCCAGGAAGAGGGCAAAGUUGGUUGGGUGUGGUGCUCUCUGCCAAACAUGAUGAACGAUCGAGCUGAUCACAACAUUCCAACACAUGGAAUUCACAAGGUUUCGAGCUGAUCCUAUAGUUCGAAAAUGCAAACGACGAGUCAAAUACUGCAAAGAGGAUGAGAGAAUGCAAAUUGCUUGUUUGUGCCAAACCGAGUACCAGAAAGCUCUGCAUGGUCUCGGCUCAUCGUGAGCCCGGGUAAUCAUGCUACUGGAACCGGUGUAAACAUGUGCAAACUCAAUAACUAGUUUCAUGAAGAUGUUAAACAUUCAAAAACCUGAUGCAUCCUAAUCAAACUGCGGCAUCGGACCAGGGACAAGAUCGAUCAACAAGAGCAAAUAAUGGGCGUACGUGGCGUGCACGCCAGUACACAAACAAGAGGUGUUCUUGGCAGGG